rnacentral:lncRNA from 1 species
UGCUCACAAUUAAUCCGAUUACACACGAGCUUCUCUCCCUGGCCAAGACACAACCAUAGUAUGAUGAAGAACAUGGCACUAGCCGGCAAUGGUAUGAAGAAGUUAAUCCUCGCUGUUCUCUUACUGUGUCUAGUUAUAGGGCAGAUACAAGUGGAAGCUAAGAGCUGCUGCCCAUCCACCACUGCAAGAAAUGUCUACAAUACCUGCCGUUUCACGGGUACAUCCCGUCCAACGUGUGCAAAACUGUCAGGCUGCAAAAUUAUCAGCGGGAACAAAUGCAAGCCCCCUAACGACCACCUCACCCUUGACCCGGACACUGGUAAAUAAUAAAUUUAUCUCACUUGAUUUCUUCGUGAUUUGAGUCGUUAAUGUAUUUUCCAUCUGAUGAAACGUAUUGGUUUUGCAUUGAAGAGGAAGUUAAUGUGCUUAACUUCUGCAAGUUGGGGUGUGCGUCGUCUGUGUGCAACAACAUCAACGCUGGUAAGCAACUUUUGCUCAGACAGAGAAAACAAUAAUCAUUAAUUAGCGGCAGCUAGAAUCCUAUAAUCUAAUAUAUAUAUAUAUAUAUAAUUUUAUCAGCUCUGGGAAAUGAAGAGGCGAACGAUGCCGUUGAGAGUUGCGACCAAGCCUGCUCUAGCUUCUGCAGCGUGCAUGUUGGCAGCGCCACCGUGGUUGCUUAAGCAAAUGCAUCCAACUAGAUCGUCCUUGUGCUGAAUAAUUGGAUAUCGUAUCCACUUAAAGCUGCCUUGUGUAGUACGUCUUUGUGUCUCUCUUUAUAUUCCAAUAAGGUCGGUGAUCUUGAUGCCACACACUCAGAUGUGUGUUCAUCUCCAGAUACUACUCCAUGCUACCUGCCCUUUGUGUUUUGUUCAAUAACUGGGUAUCAUAUCCCAGCCAGUAUGCCGUCUGUUUUGUGUUUGUUUCCUUCUAGUUCCAAAGGGGUCAUCAUGAUGUUACCUUCUUUCAAUAUGGUGCUUUGCAUGACUACUGUUGUAUGGUACCAUCUUGUGGCCAAUAAGUACAUCUUAUCCUAUGACCUUUGCUAUGACCCUUUGCAAAUAAGUAGAAGAUUGUUAUAAGCGUCAAUACUCCGUAUAAAUUGAUCGCUGCUGUGAGUUCCCUUUCAGCUUAUCGUAGGCAUACAUUAUUGCUAGCACGGUAAAGCCAACCAACACGAAUGAUGAAGUAAACGUAGCGGUACUUCUGUAUACCAACACCCUUACUUAAAUGUACCGGUGUCAUUCCCUACUGGCACAUAUAUUCUUAUAUGCUAGCCAGCUUGUAAAAUUAACCAAUUAAAAUAAUUAUUUCAAGAUAGAAAUAACUUAUCGGUUUCUGGAAGCAUGUGUAAUGUGAAUUCAAGGACUCGACGGAAGUUGAAUCACUUCAUCUAUAUUGCUUUCAGUAUUUUGGGUAACUAAAUUUAACAUUUGCACAUACAAAUGUUAAAGUACAAAUGUUAAAUCUAGUUACCCAAGCAGAAUAUGAAGAUAGUUUAUAGUAUAUAUAUACUAUAUAAAUCUAGUUAACAUUUAGUCUAAAUGUUAAAUCUAGUUACCUAAAAUCCUGAAAGCAAAAUGUAUAAAUAUAUAUCUUUUAAGGCAGUAUAAGCUUCGAUUCCUAUUGCUGCUCUGUUAAAUCUCAUCUUUCGUUGUGGCCCAACACUCUAGUAUGCAUGUUGCACCAAGCUUCUUUGAGCCGCUCUGCCCUCUGAUUUUGCUGCGUAGGGGAAUCUUUAUCAGGUUGGGCUACUUCCAGUUGUGCGAUGUAAAGAUUCGUAUUUUCUAGAAGGUAGACAAAAAACUCGCGUUCUCUUAAGGCAACAACCGGAAGAUUCUGCAGCGCACAGGGCAUACCAUUAUUGUAGAAACGACCUUUAGUACCGAUCUCCAACCCCCUUUAAAACUGGUUUUGCAACCGGUACCGUUAUGUCGGUCCUUUAGUACCAGAUCAAAUAAGUACCGGUUGGUAACCAGUAUCAACUUGUUUUGCGGCCAAAAAAAUAAAGAAAAAAACAGUCAGAAGGCUCGCACACACGCGCAUCACAUGAAAUAUGCGUGUGCGGGGUCCAUGGGAUUCGAACCCAUGAAAUCAAGCUGCACGCGACCCUUCGUUACCAUCUCACCUACAUAGCGCAUAUGCUUUCCUGAAGUAACCCGUGGAGGAGGCUUUAGUACCGGGUCAUAACACCACCCGGUACUAAAAAUGACUCUUCAGUACCGGGUCAUAACACCACCUGAUACUAGUAUCGGAUGGUGUAAUGACCCGAUACUAAAAGGCCUCUAGGGACCCUCAAAUUUGAACCCGGUACUAAUGCUAAUAUUAGUAGCGGGUCAAAGUGCAGCCAGAACUAAAGCAUGGGAUGAAAGGUCAUAUUUCUAGUAGUGUAUAGUUGUUGUGAAGGACUGACUUGGCUGUCCUCUCUCUUCUCCAUCCCCUUGGUCUUACGCCGCCGCUCGCACGCGAGCCGGUGCCCAACCAGAGGAGUGAGAGCUAGGGGCAGGUUGGGAGGUGGGGAUAGUGACUGGUGGCCAGGGUGAUGGUUGAUCCUGGUGGGGUUAGGGUUUCAGGGUUUUCGAGCUUCCUAUGGUCGGCGAACCUAGAGGAGAAGCUCAACAUCAGCUGCAACCCGCGAUGGUGGUGGUUUGGCCGGCGCCCGAGGCGAGGCAGCGCGGGAGUGCUGCCGGUGGGUUGGUGUUGGCACUCAUUAUUGACAACUAUUUUGUUCAUAAAAUAACACUCAAACUUGCUGCUGCUGCUGCUGCCAUCGCCACCCUAGCCAUAAUAUAAAGGCAAAAUUUGCUAAAGGACAUGCAAAAUGAUGCUAGUUUGCUGGCGGGCAUCGUUGACCUUGUAAUAUGCUACAAGACACUCUAGUUGUGUAUCAAUUUGCUGAAAGACAUUGCUAUGACUAAAAUAAUGUUUCUGGACUGAGUUGGAGAGAGAGAUGGAGUGAAAUGUCUGUUUUGCCCAUGACCCCACUGGUCAGAUCCUUCUUCUUCCACCCUCCUUUGUUCUUUCUUCAACCAUUACCCAGCUCCAGCGUGUUGCAGAUCUACGAGGGUGGCGGCCUGGGGCGAGGGGCAUCGCUCGCCCUUGGAGGAGCGCUGCGAGCGACGGCGCGGGGGCGGCAACAGCGCGUCAGAACCUGACUGUUCGUUAGCUCCUCUCGCUGCUGGGGAAGAAGGAGGGGGAUGGGCCAUGGACGGGGUUCCCUUGAAAACCUCAGCGUCGAGCUCGGGCGGCUACGCGCAGGCAGCACUAGGCUGCUUCACGGGGAGGGGGCGCGGCCAAUCAUUGGCACCCCACUGGUCCAAUGCUGAUGAAGAUGGUGCCAGCGUCGUGUGAGGACAUCUCAUCUCCUCGAGUUCCAUGGCCAGCACAGGUGAGCUGCCGCUACCACAAAACAGAGGUUUCGUGAGAGUCAAAAAACCUUAUGAAAAUAGCUAAAACCAUCAUGAAAAUAAUCCGUGACAUGACACUCUCACGAAAAUCCUCUCACAAAUAUGGUGCCAUGAAAAUACCAUUUUCAUGAGAGUGAACUGUCAUGAUUUUAUAAGCGUCAAUACUCGGUAUAAAUUGACUACUGCUGUGAGUUCCCUUUCAGCUUAUCGUAGGCAUACAUUAUUGCUAGCACGGUAAAGAGAACCAACACGAAUGAUGAAGUAAACGUAGCGGAACUUUUGUAUACCAACACCCUUACGUACCGGUGUCAUUCCCCACUGCCACAUAUAUUCUUAUAUGCUAACCAGCUUUGAAAAUUAAGCGAUUAAAAUAAUUAUUUCAAGAUAGAAAUAACUUAUCGGCUUCUCGAAGCUUGUGUAAUGUGAAUUCAAGGACUCGAUGGAAGUUGAAUCGCUUCAUCUAGAUUGCUUUCAGGAUUUUGGGUAACUAAAUUUAACAUUUGCACACACAAAUGUUAAUGUACAAAUGUUAAAUCUAGUUACCCAAGCAGAAUAUGAAGAUACUCUAUAGUAUAUAUGUACUAUAUAAAUCUAGUAAACAUUUAGUCUAAAUGUUAAAUCUAGUUACCUAAAAUCCUAAAAGCAAAAUGUAUAAAUAUAUAUCUUUUAAGGCAGUAUAAGCUUCAAUUCUCUGUUAAAUCUCAUCUUUCGUUGUGGCCCAACACUCUAGUAUGCAUGUUGCACCAAGCUUCUUUGAGCCGCUCUGCCCUCUGAUUUUGCUGCGUAGGGGAAUCUUUAUCAGGUUGGGCUACUUCCAGUUGUGCGAUGUAAAGCUUCGUAUCUUUUAGAAGGUAGACAAAAUACCCGCGUUCUGGAAGAUUCUGCAACGUGCACGUUGGCGCUGCCACCGUGGUUGCUUAAGCAAAUGCAUCCAACUGAAUCGUCCUUAAGCUGAAUAAUUGGAUAUGGUAUCCACUGCUUAAAGCUGCCAUGUUUAGUACGUCUUUGUUUUUCUCUCUUUAUAUUCCAAUAAGGUCGGUGAUCUUGAUGCCACACACUCAGAUGUGUGUUUAUCUCCAGAUACUACUCCAUGCUACCUACCCUUUGUGUUUUGUUCAAUAACUGGGUAUCAUAUCCUAGCCAGUGUGCCAUCUGUUUUGUGUUUGUUUCCUUCUAGUUCCAAAGGGGUCAUCAUGAUGUUACCUUCUUUUGAGGUGUCUAUGAUGACUUCGUUAAUAUCAAUAUUAACCAAUUCAAUCUGUCUUAACUAUUUGUAAGGGGUAUGAUGUAUGCAUGAUUAUAACAAUGAUUGCGCAUACAAUCGCCGCCAAAGAAACGGUCAAUACCAUUAAGACAUAUUACAGACAAUUCUCAUAAUCUAUAAUGAAUAUACAUAUUCACUACUGCAGAAGACUGUCAUUUGUAUCGGCUCAUACGUGCCAGGGCAAAGGUCACCCUUGCAUUAAGUACAUUUGCACGGUAAAGACAACCAACACGAAUAAUGAAGUAAACAUGCCGGUGCUUUUGUACACCAACACGCUUACUUAAAUGUACUGGUGUCAUUCCUCACCGGUAGCCGGCUUGAAAAUUAACCAAUUAGAACAAUUAUUUAUUGUAUCGGUGUGAUUUUUGACCUAUUGGAAUAUGAAUUUGACCGUUACUGCAUUCGUCAAGACUCAAGAGAGAAAUAACUGAUCGGCUUCUUAGAGCGUGUGCAAUGUGAAAUCAAGGACUGGAUGGAAGUUGAAGCGCUAGCACUAGUAGAGAAACGACUUUCCAUCCACCCCCUUUUGUCCCGGUUUAAAGUUGGCUCGGGAUAAAAGGUUCACCAACCGGGACUAAAACUCAGUCACUGGUGGGAGGCUCACCAACCGGAACCUUUUAUCCCGGUUGCAAAGGCUAAUGGGAAAAAAAGACUCUGAGAGGCCUUUUAUCCCGGUUUGAAACACCAACCGGGAUAAAAGACCCCCCUUUUAUCCCGGUUGGUAACACCAACCGAGAUAAAAGGGUCAAGAGCCUUUUAUCCCGGUUGGAAACACCAACCGGGAUAAAAGACCCCCUUUUAUCCCGGUUGGUGUUUCAAACCGGGAUAAAAGGGCCCCCACGAGGUGACUGGAAGGUGACUGGAAGGGGAUUAAAUCGUGGGGGACCCUUUUAUCCCGGUUGGAAACACCAACCGGGAUAAAAGGGGGUCUUUUAUCCCGGUUGGUGUUUCCAACCGGGAUAAAAGGGUCCCCCACGAGUUAAUACAAAAGGAUAGUAUCCCCUACAUAGUCAGAUGUGGUGUGUAGGUGGGAUGGUAAGGAAGCUACGCGCGAGCUCCGGAAUUUUUUUUUUUUUUUUUUGCAGCGUCGGCGCUCUCUACCCUUUUAUCCCGGUUGGUAUUACCAACCGGGAUAAAAGGGGGUCUUUUGUCCCGGUUGAGUGACCCGGGAUAAAAGACCCCCCCUUUUUUCCCCGGUUAGUUUAUCCCGGAUGCAUUUUCGGGAUAAAAGCACCCUACCAACCGGGAUUAAAGCUCACUUCUCUACCAGUGUAGCUUCAUCUUCCGCUGCAAGUUAAUUGCUUGGAUAAGAAGUUGUAGCCGCUGCAAGUUAUAAAUAGUCCCGCUGAUGCUGUGCUCCGAAGUCUAUACUAUAUAUGCGGAAACUAGAUUGCUUUCAGGAUUUUGGGUAACUAAAUUUAACAUUUGUACAUAAAAAUGUUAGUUUACGAAUGUUAAAUCUAGUUACCCAAGCAGAACAAGAAGAUAGUAUAUAGUAUAUACUAUAUAAAUCAAGUUAACAAUUAGUCUAAAUGUUAUAUCUACUUACCCAAAAUAUUGAAAGCAAAGAAAGAAUAAGUAUAUAUCUUUUGUUGGAAAAUUGGUCCACGGAGAGGCCCAUUUAGGCCUCGUUCGUUUCACCGGGAUGGGAUUCCAGUCAGGAUUACUUCCAAGUUCGGUUUGAGUGAUUCCACCCGUGUCACUCAAUCCGGCUAGGAUUCAUUCUAUGGGUGAGGAGGUAUGGUUUCAAUCCAGGCCAUCUAAUGUAGAAGGAUUCCAAUCCAGGCCGGUUUUCGUUCCAGGCCAGACUAAAACGAACAACACUUUCAAUGCAAGUCUGGUUUCAAACCGGGCCAUUUCAAACCACCCGGAAUGGACCUCGUUCCAGGCCAAUCCGGUGAAAACAAAUGAGGCCUUAAUGGAAUCCCAAAGCAAGAGUUCAGUGGCAUUCUAUAGUCCCAUGCUGCUAGUUUGAGUUGGUCGAAGCCAACUUAAAUAGGAGAGCUCUCUCACUUCUCUAAAUACGUAACUGAAGGAGAGAAGGGGGCUUGGGUUACACAACGCACGCACGCACGCAUAUUUGCGUUCUUUUCGCGUAACCAACCGCGUGACUUGAAACUUGCGACGUAGCGUGCUGCUAAGUCAAGUUGAUAUAACCUUUUUGCCGUUUGCAUGUAAUCUUUUGACAACGGUCAUUGGAGGUGAUAAGCACGCAGUCAAUACCUUAAUCUUGAGUUAAUAGGGUGGUUACUACUGCCAAUUAGUGGGGCAAUUUUGUAGGGGAAACGGUUAGCAGAGGGCUACCGUCUUCUCUAUAAGAAGUUCUGGAGACGUCCAGGAACACACAUGUACAUGUGAGAGACCCACAAAUUCCUUCCCUUCUCCCUUUUCCAUGUGGUGAAGUGUGCUGUGGUACUGAGCUGCUUGAUCUCGCCGCUCUUCUCCUUGGCAUGCACCGAGGAGGAGGGUGAGCGGUAUCUCCGAGCUAUUGCCGUCAGGAAGCCUGCACGAGGGACAACAAAAAGUUUUUGGGUAGCGCAACUGCCAGCACAACUCUCCCUCCGCCUCUUCUUCACGGUUGAUGGCCACCACAAGCAUAAACCUCGCCUUCGCAUCCACGCAAAAGGGUCGCUGGGGUGCCUUCUUGCAUCGCUUCUCAGCCUCCUUGACUUGCGGCCAGCCAAGAACUGCGCCACCACCUCGGGUGCACGCCACCACUCCAGGGCUGCUACCCCAUGCCUGCGGCCGCCGCCGGCCACCACGCGUGUGCAACCGCGUCGCACCGCUUCCUUGCUUUGUGCCACCACUGCUGCUGUACCACCAGCUCCACCACCUUGGGCUGGUCGCCAGAGUGACUGAUAACUUAUUAUCUGUAACUACUAUUAACUCAGGGAUACAUGCGUCUUUUGCUUCUCCUACUAAUAUGUCCUAAAAUAUCUAGGAUGCCUUAUAUUUCUGGACAGAGGAAGUAUUUGAAUAAAAUGAACCAAUUUAAAAAAAUGUGUUGUACACUACUACAGAAAGACCUAUCAGUGUCAAACCCAAAAAUGUUGUCACCGCCAGUUUUGGGCAUCAUUGGUGAAAGGUUGGCGGUGAUGGGCUUUCCCUUCAACAACGGCACUGGAGCCGACGGUGAUUGACAUUAGAAAACAAAAAAGGGGACCCUACCUAGCCACCCCUGCAACCCGGCCGGCCGUGCCUCCCCUCAUCCCCACCACCUCGCCUCCCCAUGACCCCCCGCCGGCGCCCUUGCGCCUAGCCCCCUCAACUGCCCAGCCGGCCACCCUCAUCACGAGAGAGAGGUGCAUGUUGUAUAAUUGCGUGAAUUUUUUAAUGUUUAAUUUCAUGUAAGUUCCGUGUAAUAAAUUGUACAAGUUUUAUUGUAUAUAUGAAUUCCAUAUAUAUAUAUAUAUAUUUAUAAUUUAAUGUAUGGUUUCAUGUGUAUAUUUCAAUCAUGUGUAUAUUUAGUAGAUUGCCGAUUUUCUUUUUCUACUAGACAAGGGUUGAUGUAUAAUUACGUGUAUAUGUUUAUUGUACGGGCAAUUAGGACAAGUUUUGUAUAAAUUUCUUUUAUUUGAUGGUUGUUGUAUGGUUUCAUGUAUAUACAUUUAUUGUACUACUUUAGACAAUUUUUAAUUUAAUGUUUCUAUGAUUAGAUGUGUGUAUAACUAAUUGUAUUAUUAGUUAAGAUGGGAGCUAAAGAGGAUGAAAGGUAUAUAAUGGAGCAGAUUAUUGCUAGCUCAAACGUUGCAAGAACCUACACCGAGGGUGAGGGUAGCUAGGUGGACAUGUACCUCAACAUGUCCAGUGAUGGCAAUGACGAUGAGGAGCACGAGCAUGACAUCUAUGAUAAUGCGGAACAAGACAUUGCAGAAUUGGAAGGUUCUAAUGAGGUGUGCUUCAUGUUGACAAUCUAGUUGGCUUUUUUUCGUUGGUCACACCUUAGUUACCAUAGAACUUCGUCUCGGGAGAAGAUUGGUGGUGGUAUGGUGAUUGGAAUUUUAUUUCCACGAAAUCUGAUUUCCAUCGAAUCAUAUCCCUUGUAUUUAUCUUCUUUUUAUUUGUGAGAGCAUCUUCUUUAUGCUUGCAAAACAAUUCAAGUGCACAUACUACCCCUAGGGUGACGAUUGGGAGUAGAAAUAAUUGCCAACAAAACAACACCACAUCCUAAGAUUCUUAACUUGUGGCAUAAUUAGUCUAGUAAAAAGAAAGAUAAAAACCUAAUGGGUGUAUGUGAGUGCAAUGUGUAUAUGCAUAUGAGUGGAAGGCAUAUAAGCAAAGACAAUAUUUACACAUAGUUCUAAACACCAUGUUUACAGCUAGGUUGCUGAAUUUCUCCAUAGCCAUAGAGAUUAAUUAACCAAGGUCAAAACACGAUGUCUAUCCCAAGAUCAGUAAUUAUUUAUAGCACAAGAAAAAGAAAGCGCAUUGCAAAGUUUAUAAACCAACCAAUACAGCAUGAAAACAAGAUGAAUAGCUAGCAAGGUUUAUUAAACUGAAUGAUGACGGUCUGUAAGCAAGUUUAAACACCAUCUUUACACAAGAUUGCAAAUGGAAAAUGCCCAUAUGAAGCACUAACAUGGAUAUGAAAUCAUUCAUCAUAAAGCGUAAAGAACAACCAAGCCAACCAUAUGCAAAGCAUGAAUGGAAUGCAAUGAAGGUGCAAGAGAACAUUUUUGGAUGAACACAUUAUGAUGAUGGCAAAAUGCAAUGCAUGCAGAAAAAAUAAAUAUGAACAUGAAUAUGAUGAUCAGGGGCGGACCCACUAUUGUGGCCUGGGUAUUCCUCGGCAUACCCAAUAUUUUUGGGAAAAUGUUUAGUAGUUUUUAAUGGCAUAUACAUGUAUAAUAUAGUUUAGGUGUUAAAAUUGAUAUUCACAGCUAUUUUGGGCUCCAAUUCGCGUCCAAACCAACCUGGCCCACAGACCGCACCCGGCCGCCCGGCCCAUCGGCCCAUCUUGUCACUGAUCCUCCCACCACCACACUCAGCCCGUCAGUUAGUCAGGUCCCGAGCUCCUGCCUGACCUAGUCCGCUACCACCGCCAGGCGCCAGGCACAGCUGUACACGCCGCCCCCGUCCACCCACGUCCGCCGCACGGCCGCGUCGCGCCCCCCCCCGGCGCCCGCUGCUGCCAGAACCCAUUAGGCCUCCACCGGCAAGUCCACCCACAGUCCCGCGCGACGCGGCAGCCUCUUGGCUCUCGGCGCUCGCGGCGCGCCAAUGCCUGCGCAGCCCCAGCAGGCGACUGCCCCCCCCCCCCCCGCAUCGGGCCUCGGCCCCUCCCCAGCUCCCCCUCCCCCCUCCACCAGGACUGCCUGCUGGCCCCCACCGCGAGGUAAUCGAAAUGGACUGCUCAAUCUCUCAAUCUGUUGACAUGAUGCACACGGUUGCAAAAAUAGAUGUGUCAAAAUAGAUGUAUUGCCAAUUGCUAUAGAUGCAUAUGGUUGACAUGAAGAAGUCAAAAAUGACAUUUGGUUCCUUGUAGGCAGUCAAAAAUGAAGAAGUCAAACAAUAUUGAUCUGAAAUCAAUGCGGGAAAGGGCUACGAAGACACACGGGUAGAUUCCCUUGUGAACUUUUUAUGUCGUUCGUCUAAAUAUAUUUUUGCAAUGGGCAUACCCUACUCUGAAAUCCUGGGUCCGCCACUGAUGAUGAUGGUCUAAACAUAAAACAAGCCUAGAUUAAUUAGCUACAACUGAAAUUAAGCAAAGGUUAAUGUCAUUGACCCUAGCUCUAUCCUAGCUUUUACUAAAGUCCCGGCACAUAUAGUGGUUGGGCCCACUCUCUCUACUUCCCUCUCUGCUGCAUGCACACACACGAGCAACUGGAGGCCCAACAAAGCCCAGAAGGGUUCGGCCGAACCCGUCCGAUCCAGUCUGAGCGCCGCUCCCUCCCAGCCUUCGCGCAGAUGCUCCUCCAACGUUCCUUGACCCCUCCCUCAGUGUCCCAUUGGGUUUAACAUUGUAGGAGAGGAGUCCCUUUUUUAAAAUCUCAACCACCUCCUCUCCUCAUUCACUCCACUCUCAUCUCCAUCAAACUCACCAAGAUCCACAUCGGAAAUACCUGCUUACCACCAUGGCUGGCAAAGCCCUCGUCCCUUUCACCAACUUGGGCUUGACCAUUGAUCUCGAUGGGAAAAUCACUCCAGCAAAUGUCAUUGUCCCUGUCGGCGAUCUGGCGAUGGAGGAGGUCCAGGCACUAGAGGUCGAGCCCCUAGCCAUCAUACCGCCCAAGGGGUAAAGCAGGAGCAUGACAGGCGCUGCUAGGGGUUCAGCCGAACUCCCAGUUCAGCCAAACGAGGACGGCGUCGCCUCGGCCUCCCGCUCGACUGCAUGCUUCCCCUUGCCAAGGAGGACUCCAGAACAGCGGGCGCGUGCGUCAAGUCCCUACAAAAGGCUGAAAUACAAUGAAUAUCCAGGGUCACCCUUGAAGAUGGGUGAACGCUACGCCGGGUCCUUGUUUGACUAGUACGGCGAUGCAUUCUGCCACCGCUAUGUCGUUGUCGAGAUUAGCGGAUCAAGACUUAGACUAGUAAAUUUCUUUUAUGCGCGUAAGGCUUCAGAUGGUGGCGUGGGAGACAUGGGUUUUAUACUAGUUCGGGCAAUGGAAUACCCUACGUCCAGUGUCUGGAGCUGCUUGUGUUGCCCACGCGGGGUUCUGUAGUAGGGGUUACAGGUGUGCGAGAGAGGGAGCUAAUCCCAGGUCUCUUAGGCGUGUUCCGGUCCUCUAGAUGGGAGAAGUGUGUUCUGUUUGCUUGGGAGUAUCGGUUGUGUCUGAGUUGUCUCCGGAGCCUCCUCCCGUCUCAGGUCCCCGAUUCUCCUUUCAUAGCACAAGGAGACCAUCGGGGUUACAGACGAGACCGAGCGUGGGGAGGAGUAAAGAGAUAAACAUAGCUAGGUAAAAAUACAACAAGAAAGGGGGGAACCAAGUUUCUAGGUCACCGGCGUCCUCGCCGGCCUUCGACUUCCGCCGGCGCAUUUGUCGGAGGAGGGUGGCCGCCAUCGCGUUCUGUCGAUGGCUUCCUCGGUGACUGUAGCCACCGGGCGUGAUGAUGGCAUUUCGUCGUGACCCUUUGUCUGUUGGGGGAGGCGGCGGAUCCUGCCAUUCUGCUGACGGCUCGCGGAGUGCGAACGUCGCAUCCCUGCCGCUGGGCACGCGGGGCGCGAGAACGUGCGAGGCUUCCCCCUACCCCAGGCGGCGCAGGCCAUGAGUGCCCUGUGGCAAAUCGGAGGAGGCCGCAGCUACUGUAGCUUGUACUGUGCAGCCACGUAUGGGUACUUGUGGCAGGUUGCGUGGUGGAUGCGGAUAUCCUUCUCCCUGACAGAUCUGCGGCGCAUUUAUGGCGAGAUCGACAUGGGGACCCACAAGACCCGCGCCCAAGGCGGAUACUUGUCUGGAGGGCCCGGGUUAGCCUGACCCCCUACGCUUGGGGUCGGGCGAGGCGGAGACUUGCGGCGGGGCGUCGGACGCUCCCGACACUAGACCUGCGGUCGCGCAAGGCGGAGCUUGGUCUUCCGGGGGUCGGGGGUGCCGGACCCCAGGAUGCGGGGUCGGGCGAGGUGGAGCGUAAUUCUUGCCUCCCAUGUUGGGCCGAUGGCAGUCUUUGUUACCUCUAGUGGGCUUGGGCCUUUAUGUUUUGUUGUUUCCAUGGGCUUCGAGAGGUCGUUAAUAUUUCCCCCCAACAGUAGCCCCCGAGCCUGUGGUGGAGUGGGGGCGCUCCUCCGGAGGCUACUAUCAUCGCCCCUAGGGAAUCCUCGCAGUUGAUCCGGGAUAGGAGGUGUUGUUUGCACGGCUUGACCGAGGGGGUCGAUUAGGCGACGCAUCCUGUGAGCGACUCGGUGCGGGAGGGUUUCUUGUUGUUCCCUUCUGUCUGAGAGCCUUAAGUCGAGACCACCUGCGUGGCCUUUGGUUGCAAGGCCAGCCCCCGAGCCCCCGCACGUUGCAGGGGACCGGUCGGAGGCUAGGUCGACUUUUGUUCAUUACCCUCAAGCGUCUGUUCGCUAGGACGGAGGGGGCGAGCCGUGCCAUGCUAUCCUCAUCGGACGAACCAUGGUGCUCAUUGAGUUACUAACGGGUUGAUUCGAGUGGGAUCCCGGUCCCCGUUCGGGGGGGGUCCGGCUUGGGCCAAGCUGGUGGCGUACCCCAGGCUCCGGUCGGCCAGUUCAUAUAGUUCCUGAGUCCGUUCGGUCGGACCGGGGGCUCAUUGCCUUUCUUCGGGGAAAAACCAUGAACUUUGAUGCCGGUCCAGACUCGAAUGUGAGAUUGAGACGCCCGGGGCUGUCGCGUGCCCGGGUGAUGGCCGCUAGCGGACCCGUCUCCUCUCACCCCUCACUCGGGGGUAUCCUGAGGCGGCUGUCGAACCCGUGGCGGGCCAGCCUUCGAACCUCUGGAUCGUAAUGGGCCGUAGGGGCGUUUUCAGCCCCGUAUCCCUUUUUACCUUUUGGUGGGCCUUGGGCCGAAUCAUGGAGGAGGUCGGGCCUUGGGCCGGAUGCGGAGGAUGUCGUGCCUUGGGCCGGAUGUGGGGGACGUCGUGCGUGUCUUCCGGGAGACGAAGUGGUGGAGGGUGCCAACCCGCGAAUCGAGGGAGGAGGGGAUGUUUCUACUGCAGGUCAUGCGCACGGUUUCCGAAAAGGCAGCGGGCGUGACGGGACGUACCUCGCGCCGCAUUUAUUGCGAUGGGGGCGUCUGUUCUGCUUCCCUCGUGCCUUCCCUAUAAAACGAGGACUUCGCCUCGCCGGUUCCGCCCGCCAUCUACCUUCAAGCCUUUUCGCCUCCUCGCGCGCCCUUAGCUUUCCUGUGCCCGCUUCGUCUUCCUCCGCCCAGUGCCGCGCCCUUUCUCCCCAUCCGCCGUCGAGUUCUUCUCCCUCCGGCGAUGGGAUCCUGGGCGCGUUCCCACUUCGGCCCCUCACGCGCCGAAGGCCUAGUGAGGAAAGGCCUCCUUUGCGAGAGGACGGAGACGGAUGAGUGGGGGUUCCCUGAGAUGGAAGAGGUGCCGACUCCGCCCACCGGCUACGUCGUUUCCUUUGCCCACUUCCACGAGAGGGGGUUUGCGACUCCGCCGAGCCUCUUCUUCCGCGGGCUUUUGUAUUACUACGGGCUUGAGCUGCAGCACCUCAACCCCAACGGGAUUCAGCACGUCGCGGCGUUCGUUGCGGUGUGCGAGGGGUUCCUGGGCAUUGAGCCCAACUUCUCGCUGUGGAAGUACUUCUUCACGGUCAGCCUAUACCAGAAGGCCGAGAAGAGGGGAAGCCAGCAGCGGUCGACCCCGGUGCCGAUAGGGUGCGUCGGAAUCCACCUCUGCCAUACUCGCGCCAAGGAGUAUAUCGCGAUGAAGACCGCGGCAUCCCACAAGGGGUGGCACCAGCAAUGGUUCUACGUGAAGAACUACUCCAACCCCCCCUGCCGGAGUUCACCGGCCGCAUUAUUGAAGCGGCGCCGGAGGUGUGGGUGUACGGCCCGGUGGAGAAGGAGAAGAAGCGGAUCACCGGCCUGCUGCAGGCCAUCGAGCACCUGAAGGAGAGGGGACUGACCGGAGCCGGAGUCAUCGGGGCGUACCACGCCCGGCGGGUGGCGCCGCUGAUGCUCCGGGUCCGCUCGCUCGCCGACAUGACCCCCGGUGCUCUCACCGAUGGCACUGUCCUCGCGACGGGUGCUCUCGCUGCCUCCGAGAUCCGGCAGCGGAUCCGGGAGGCGCUGGAGGACAAGGACGCCGAUUACCCGGUGCCCGGCCACCCUCCGAUGCGCCCGGACGAGAAUUUCAUUGAUCUGGUAAGGAUUUUGCGCGCCAGUUUCCCUCUCUUGCGUUUCUUGGUAUGCCGUUCUGACGCGAGGCCCUCUGUGUUUGCAGGGUAGCAUGACCCGGGUCGUCGACUUGCGUCCGCCAGUGUCGGAGGACGCCGAGUGGCGGUAGCAGAACCGUCUCCUUGCCGAGAAGCAAAAGUGACGCAAGGACAAGAGACAGCGAAGAAGAAGAAGAGGGCCGCCAAGGAGUUCCAGCGGCGGCGGUGGGGAUAGGUCGUGUCGGAUGACGAUGACGAUGAGAAGGAGGAGGAGGAUGACGAGGAGGAGGAGGAGUUUAUCCUGUCCCCCCGGUCAGGGGCGCUUGUUAUCCGGGAGCCGCGCUCCCAAGCGGCCAUGGGGGACAAGGCGGGCGAGCUGCCUGCCCGGACCCGAUCCUGCGAAGCUUUGGGGGCGCGCCCCAGGGGUCGGCGCAGAGCGCCCCCCGGGGGUCGACGGAGCCGACCCCCAUCCCUACACCUGCAGCCCAGGAGCAGAGGAGCAGCGACAAGCGGCCGUUGCCAGAUGCCCCGGGGUCGGCGUCCAGCUCAGAGGCGAAGCGCGCGCGCCGCCCUUGCGCUGGGGGAACGUGAGUUGAAUUUCCUUGCGAAUCUCGUUCCUUUCCAUGCAUUGUGUUUGUUUCCGCUGAUGCUGUUUGUUGUCUCACAGCACCGCCCCUCAAGGCCUUGUCCCGCCGUUGGCGCCAAAGAAGGCGUUGCGGUGUUGUCGCCUCUGCGGGGCGGACCGCGGCUCCGCCGGCGGCGAGUGGCGGGGUCACUGGUGAGACCGCGGGUCCUACCGCGGAGGUGGCCCCUGCGGCGGCAACCGGUGGAGUGGUGCCACCGCCGGGCAUGGGACAGGGUCUGGACCCCGCUCCGUCCUCCGCCUCUUCGGCCGACCCCGCGGUGCAGAGUAUCGCUCCUGGGGGCCCUCAGGCCGGGGAGGUGAUUGACCUCGACGCCGACGAGGUGGAGGAGACGGCGGCGGUGGAGACGGGGGCGGUUGCCCCAGCGGCCAUGACGGGGACGACGACGGCGACGGGGGAAGGAGAGUCUACCCCCGCGGCCACGGCGGGGACAGUGGCGACAGAGGAGGCGGGGACGCCCGCCCCGGCGGCUGCGACGGAGGAGGCGGCGGUGACGGAGACGGGGGCUUCCGCCCGGGAAGCCACAGCCGAGGUGGCAGCGGCGACGGAGGUGAAAGUGCCUGUUCUGGAGGCCACGGUGGGGGUGGGGACGCCUGCCUCGUGGCCACGACGGAGGGCGAGGCGGCCCCAGGGACACUUGCUCCGGCACCCGCGUUGGAGGCGGUGGCGCCGACGGGUUGGCCCGUGGCGGCCUCGACGGGGGCGGGGGUGCGUGCGCCGGGACCGUCGGUGAGGCCGGCGACUUCCGGGAUGGUGGUGCCCGUCUUGACGGCGGCGGCGGCGCGGUCGGCCCCCGCCCUUGCCUCUACCACUCCCAUUCCCAAGGCGUGGAGCGGAUCCGUCCUGCGUUGGUCGUCUCGUGACGACCCGCAGAGGCCCCUCUUCACGUUGGAUGAUGCCACAGAAUGGGGCAAGUGGCAGGCGCUGCAGGGCGGACUCGCUAACGUCCGCGCCGCUCUAUCUUCGGCGUUGGGGGAGCUGGACGGCGUCAUCUUCCCCGGUGGCCGGGUAUGGUGCUUUCUCCGUUGGUUAUUUUCUUCCCGUUACUUCGUCCCUGAUGGCACAUUGUUCUGCAGGCCCUCCAAGAAUGUAGCCGGGGAAAAUCUGAUUUCCUUUGGCUCGAGCAGGGGCUCUGGGAGCGCUUCAACUUGGAGUUGCAGCGGACCGGGGAGCUGACCAUGCAAGUCGCCACCGUCUAGCAUGUCAUCGACGAUCUGCGAAGGCACGAGCAGGCGGCACAGGAGGACGCGCGGCGGGCGGAGGCCAAGUUCCAGGUCGUUGCCGAAAGGGCUCGCUGCGACCGCGAGGAGUUCCAGGCCGUUGCCGAAAAGGCCCGCCACGACGCUGAGGAGCUCGCACGGCUGAAGGUGCAGCAUGAAGCUCUUCAGAAGAGCGGCAGAGGGCCUGGCAGGACCGGGACGCCGAGAAGGUCCGGAAGGAGGAGGCUGAGAAGGUGGCGGCCAACCUUGGGGCUGAGGUCAGCCAGCUCCAAGUGCAAGCGCGAGAGCUUCAGGCCUCCGUGGCCCAGGGGCUCGACCAGGAGCGCCAGCUGAAGGCCUAAUCCGAGGGUAUGACUCUGUUUAUUUCUUUGUCUUUGUGAUGUUGCGGUGAUAUUUUAUUUGGCGGGUUCUUCUGGAUGAUCCUUGCAGAUGAGCUCAACUGGCUGAGGGAGGUGCUUGACGCGGAGCGCGCUGAGCACGGCGACCUGCGGGACGCGGUCCGCGUCAUCUGUGACUUCCUUAGUGUGGUCCAGGGGGAGGGGACGAGCUCGCUGGCGGCUCGUGUCCUCGGGACGUACCGCCGGACCAGCGAGAUCGCCCUGGAAGCGCUUCGCACCGGCUUGAGGCAAGCCUUUGGGGUCUUCGGCUCCCACUAUUCCGGCAUCAACUUCGCCGGGAUGAGCGGGGGAUACGCCACCGGCUACUACGAGGCCGAGCUGGAUGAGAUCGACGUGUCGGUGCUCAGCCCGGCGGAGGCCUUGGUGAAGCUCCUCGAGGAUGAGGCCGUCCCGCCCGAAGAUCCCCGGACGAGUUAACUAUAUCGGGCUGGCGCCCCAGAUGUAAAUACGUUAGGGAAAGACUUGUUUUUUGUGAGGGCCGUAGAGGCCUUUUCUAUGAAUUGUCGUAAAAAAGUUUUUGAUUCCCUUUCUUGCUUUUUGGACUUGGAAAGUUUAGAGCACGUUGUCGGGCGUGUCAGUAAGCUUUGAUGAGCGAAGGCACCGUAGCCGCUGGGGCGUCGUUUUUUUUGCAGUCCGAUCAAUCUUGCCUGAACACCGUUCGUGCACUUUCUCCUUUUUAUGCCCAAAAGUUCAGAAAGAGGGUCGGCUCGGAAAGAGAAAGCGUUUUGAGAGGGUGUCAAGUGGCUUAGGUACUUGCGGCAGGUUGCGUGGUGGACGCGGAUAUCCUUCUCCCUGACAGAUCUGCGGCGCAUUUAUGGUGAGAUCAACAUGGGGACCCACAAGACCCGCGCCCAAGGCGGAUACUUGUCUGGAGGGCCCGGGUUAGCCCGACCCCCUACGCUUGGGGUCAGGCGAGGCGGAGACUUGCGGCGGGGGGUUGGACGCUCCUGACCCUAGACCUGCGGUCGGGCGAGGCGGAGCUUGGUCUUCCAGGGGUCGGGGGCGCCUUACCCCGGGAUGCGGGGUCGGGCGAGGCGGAGCGUAAUUCUUGCCUCCCAUGUUGGGCCGACGGCAAUCUUUGUUACCUUGGGUGGGCCUGGGCCUUUAUGUUUUGUUGUUUCCAUGGGCUUCGAGAGGUCGUUAAUAUUUCCCCCCAACACUAUGAGGAGGACUUGUGGGCAGAAAGUCAGCUACCACAAACUUGCCUCUGAAUAUUUGGAGUGCAAACAUUGGAUGGUGGUUGUGGAGAGCCCCAGCCAUACCUCGCACCCGUGGAGAGGUAAUUGUCGGAUUGCUUGGUUCGUCUCUAGAAUGCGACAAGGUCAGGCGCCACCUCUCACUGCUGCCAGUCAGAAGGCCGAGGGGCCAGUUUCAACAUAGUAAUGAGAAUCUCCGAAGGCCAAUAUGGUUAAGCAGCUAACCUCCAUGAUCAUAGACUUACGUUUAGAAAAUAGGAGGCUUAGCGAUGCGUUAACAGAGCAGAAGUUAGAAACAGAAGAACUUAAGGACGACUUCCGUGUCCUCCGCCUUGGUCUUUGUGCUAAGAUAAAGCGCUUGUACAAUGCCACGGGGAAUGACGGUCUCUACGAUGCAGCUCAAUAGACGUGCCCCUUGUAUCCUUUCCUUUAGGCACUUUAGAAUAUGUUUAUUUGUUUUCCUUCAUUUUAAUUUCCAAUAGAUUGUUAGCGCCUCCAAUUUAAUUUCAAUAAAGUGUAGACUCACCGGUCAUCCAACUUGAUGGAGUCCUUUUGUCACCUAGUUGUCUUUGGAAGAAGUAGCUGGGUACAAAAUAAGUGUGGGGGAGAGCCACAGACUCUCUAGAGCUGAAACAAUGCACAACACCCACAAAUAGAGAAAACCACGCUGCACCAGCACGUACGUGAAAGUGGAGCCAGAGCUGGACCCAUAGGGGUUUGGCCAACCCAAGGGGUGGCCCACUCGGGCCAUCUUCAUCCACCGCGUCGGUUUGUGUCUCUUUACCCCUGAUCUCCCUGAUUCAUGAGUUUGAAUGAAUUUUAAAUCUGAUCAACUAAUUCAAACUCAACUAAAAUGAAUCAACUGCUCCACCUGCUCUACAUGUUUUCUAUGGUUGGCUUGCAUAUGUUUUAUUUCAUGCUUAUCAUCUUGAUGCUUGUGAACAAAUAUCUUUAGGACAGCAUGCUCAUCUAAGUAGUUGAUGUGUAUGAUAUGGUUCGAUGAUAUGAUCUUCACUCUUAAUGCUUAAGUGCUUGGGAAAAUCUAUUUGAAAAUUUAAAAGCCUUUUUGAAAUCUCCUCUUUGAUGUGCCAAAGUCCUACCAAAGCCAUAUGAUAAGUUAUCUUGAAAAACCAUUUGCAUAUGUUGCUUGUCUUUGCAUUGAGCUUUGUCAAAUUGGUGUGACCCUUGUCACAAUUCUUUUCAUACUUUCAUGAUCAAGACUCAUGUGCACGCCAUAUACCCCUUGCUAUGCUUCUAUGAGAUGUUAGCAUUGUACCAUCCAUUCAUUCCACAAAAUAAAUGCUCCACCAUAUGUGUUGGUCUCCUUCUAAGAUUAUUGUUACAAAAGAGAUAUGGGCUAUCAAAAAAAAAUAUGAAUGUCCAAGAAAGUUGGACACAUGAAUGUCCAAUAAAAAGAAAAAGAAAGAUAGCCAUGUCCUCAGAAAUAUUUACAAAGGGAGAGAGAUCAUACAAAAAGGAGUUUCCAUUCCAUCCACCACAUCCAUACAUGUGCACAUCUUGAUCUGAUUGUAUGACUUAUUUUUCUCUUUGGAUCUGGUCUUUGACUUUGCAAUAUAUGUGAUGCAAGCAUGCCUUAUCCUUCAUAGCCUACCUUGAGCUCCACAUAUAGCCAUCAUUAGAAGUAGGAUGAAGAAAGGCAAGUCUAAUGCCUUGGUGAGGACAUAUACACAUUGAGUGAUCUGAGAGAAUCAAAUGAGGAGCUAAGCAAGGUUUUGUUUUGAAAACUAAUUGAAAAAUCCCAAGCUACUUGGCAUAAGGAGUUGAGGUGACUUGAUUCAAGACCAUUACAUUCCUCAACUACCCAAGAUGGCAUGAUAGACACUCCAAAGUUCACAAGUGCAGGUAUGGUUUGGAAUAUCUUUUAGGCUCGCUUCAUACCUUUGAAAGUUAUGUUUCACCUUAGUCCUUUCUCGUUCACUCAAGGAUAAGCAAAGGCUAAGUGUGGGGGUGUUGUUGAUGGCUCUUAAGUACAAAAUCUGCGCCAUCAACUCUUGCAUAAACACAUAAAAUAUGAGCAUCAACAAUAGUGGUAGGAGUUAUUACAAACGAAUUCCACAAGUCUUGGUGAAUAUUUGUAUGCAAGCCCAAUAGGAGAGAAAAGACACCUCAAAAGCAAGGAAACACACUCUCAACCAAUCAAGAGCAAGCACAUGGAACCAUGGGCCCACAACCAAAAGGAAAUCGACUACAUUCCAAACACCCUAUACCCACAUGAGAACCCAUAGGGCAGUGACCCAGAGCAAAGGUGAUGCCAGAGUGUAGAUGGUAGUUAGCAUGCCAAAUUUUGAACCGCAAGCGCUCGGAUUAGUUGUUUCUUUUCCCUUAGAGAUUCCCCCAAGGUUUAUCAAUCCAUGGAACAAGGGAUUUGCACGUUUCACUAAGCACUAAUCAAUGUAAUUGAAAGCUUUUCGAAUAAGAUAUGAUUAUGCUAACAAAGGAACUAAGCAAUCUAGAUUAAGAUGGAUAGAGAGUACAGGUUGUGAACAAGAUAGAUUAAACGCUUGUAGAUGCAAUCACCAUGCAUGAAUGAAUUAGAUCUAGGUGUUAUUGUGAGUGGUUGUGAACCAUGCCCAACACUUUCCCACCCGCAACAUUGUCACUACAUGUGGGUACUCAACUAUCGGAACAUAAGAACACAUCAAGAUGAUCAUUCUAGGUAAGCAAAUAAGCAACCCAAAGUAGCGCUGGCCAGCCUUUUCAUGAAAGAGCAUCAUCAAGAUAAGAUUGAUAACAAAAUAGAUCUCAACCAAAGGUUCAGCGAUUACAAAUCAAGAUCUUCGUAUAACCCCGAUGACAAAUAGAGGUAUUACCCCCAUGAUCUUACACAUGUUGAUGAAUUUUAGGGUAAAGGACACCCUGUAGAUCAACUGGACCAAAGAUGAUGAUGAACGGGGGCAGGGAAGGCCCAGGUUGAUCAGCCUGCGCACUUUUGAGCCGAUCAGCUCAGGGGGUUUCCUCCUCCCCUGGUGCUCCUCUUCGCGUGGCCUCCUCUGGAUCCAAUCUUCUCUUCAUUUCUCCUACUUGUGGCGGCAAUGGAUGGUGUUUGCAUGGUGAUUUCCUCUUCUCCCCAACUCUCCCUCCUUGAAGUCCAUGAGGGGGUAUUAAUAGUCUCCAAUAGGCGGCAGCUCUGGGUCAAUGUCAGUGAAAAAAUCCUAGAGAUCAUCGUACACUUCAUGCUGAGGAAACAAGAGGUUGACCGAGCCCUGGGAUAGACCAAGAGGAUCAUCCUAGAGGGUCCCAGGCUAAUCGGUCUAGGCCCUUCCUAGCCCUUCUAGUCCUCUCCUUCCUCGUGCUGGCUUUUCUCGAUGACCCUUGUCCAAAUAUCCAUGAAGCUCUAUAUACAUACCCCCUUGAUUAUGUUGUAUUUCCUGUCAAAAUACAAUGCUCCAAAAUACAACACAUAUGCAAUAAUAGGGUUAUUUCAGGUGCCAAUUGGUGGGUUAGUAUACGAAUAAGCAUGAAAAUACUGUUUAAAUGACACUAAAAGUGUGUCAAUAACGAGCACCAACAAUCCCCCCACGCUUAGAUCUUGCUCGUCCUCGAGCAAGUCUAGCGACUAAAAGAUCUUGAAUUAAACCUGAGCAAGCGAGUCAAGUACCUAGCCUUGAAACAAAAGAUUAGAGGAGCAGCAAAGAUAAUCAAAGUCUGGGUGUUCAAAGAUUUAUCUAAGCAAAGAUUCCCCUACAACUAUUAUUCAGAACCAAGUAACUUCAAAAAUCAACUACACUUAUUUUCUGGCUUUUUUCAGAGGGUUUUUCUUUCAUCAUAAAACAAUCUCCCUGCAACAAAAUUGAAAAAAGAAUUAUUUUCAAGGUGCUUACAUGUCGCUUAAAUGAAUGUUGGCUAUCCUACUUAUUUGCAAGCUCUCAUCUCUCAAAAUUCAUUCAAUUAUAUGGUGGAGUUUGGGUAAGGUUAGCUAGAAUCAACACGUAUAUUAUUGAAUUAAGAAAACCCUCUAACGGUGGCCUACCUUCCGAGCCAUUGAUCAUAAGAAUAUCCACAUAAUGUGAAGUUUUCAAGGAUGAGAAGAUAUAGAAUGGUGGACAUGUGCAAAGGCAAAGAAAUAUAGUGACUCUGAGGCACAAGCAAUGUCCUCGUCGUUGGAUUGCAUAUGGUUGUAAUGAAAAUAUGUUCCUUAAACAAGUCUAUCUUUUCUUUGCACCACUCUUGAUCUUCAUGACAGUAAAAACUCCUCCUUUAUUUCUUUCUCUCUUUUCCUAUUAUUUCUUUUUAUUUGUCUCAAUACUUUUAUUUCUUUAUUUCUUUAUUUUAAUCUCUUCUCUGAACCUCUUCUGAACACCACAUAAUAAAAAUAAGUUUUAGAUCCUUCCAGAGACCUUCCAGGAAUUUGCUACAUGAAAACCGAGGCAAGGAGACCCCAGGCCGAUUGGCCUAGCCACUCCUUUGCUCUCCUCUAGCUCUUCUUUCUGGUGAAGCUUCCUUAUCUUGUAUCUUUCCAAAAAUUUCAUAAAGCUCGACUAGAAACGGAACAGAUCUUCAUAUAAUGAGUUGUGUUCAAGGAAUUGGUAAUAAAAUUGAGAAAUUUGUGGUUCGGGUUUACGAAUUCAGUACAAAAAUAUGAUUGUUCCAAUGAAGAACUCUCAUUACUGAAUAUUGACGAGGCAAGCAUUCAAAGAUGGUAAAAAGGAUAUGAUCAAUUCUCAAAAUUAAAGCAAACCAAGAGAGAGCGAUCCUAAUUCAAUUCAAAGUGUCAAAUGUUGCUUAUGGUGGUAUGAAUAAAUAUUUUUAGGCAUUGGGUAGGAUAAAUAAAAACUCUCAACCUGGUUAAAAGAUAUUGAUCAAUCUUGUUUUUGCAGAGGUUUUAAAUAAAAAAUAAAAUUUUAAAUCACCUCCAAUUCAAAGCCUUACUCAUAAAUCAUAAUCAAAACUGAAGCACUUGAUCAUCAUAAAGCAUGGGUAUUGCAUAAACAAAUCGAUUACUAAAACUCCACAACUACGAUUUAGAAUUCAAGACAAUGCUCAUAAUCUAAAGUUGCAAAGAUAAAAUAAAAGACAACCAAGCCAAGGUAGACACUAAAAACACUUGCACGAUCCUUGAAUUUUAUUCAUGCUUCUUCUCACAAAGACGCUAAAGUAGCCAUGUAGGCCUAAGUCUUCCCAAAAGCUUAAGAAAACUACUACUUUAUCUACUUUUGGUUGAAAUAAAAAGACUAAUCUAGACUCUCACAUGAUUCGACUCGACCAAAUUAGAUCCAAAAACUCAUACGAGCGACGAUCUCCCCCCCCUCACGCUUAAAAUCUACGACCUCCUCGUCGUAGCCAUAUGGAGUACAAGGAAAAGAAGCUUGUAAACGCUCUAAUGACGCUACCCGCACUACUUGCACACGGGAUGGUUGCUGCUUCCUUCGCUUUGUUCUUCCUCAUGUUGCUGCACAUCCCGAAGAGCUUCCUCACGUUCCUCUGCAAGAACUUGAACUCGUCCUCCUGACGGCGAUCAUUAUCUUCUGCCUUUUGAUCCAGAGCUUGUAAGGCUUGCAUGAUGUCAUCGAACGCAUCGAAGAGGUAGUGGAUGUUCUUCCUGCAAGCUGUGGAACAUGUACGAUCAUGCUCCUCCGAUUCUGGCCCGUCGUCUUCUAGAUCCUUCUCUUUGCCCUUGUCUUGACGGUGGCUAUCUUGCUCCUUGCUCGCCUUCUUGCCUUCAGCCCAAUCCCAGUACGUGUUGUCAUCUUCUUCAUCGUCACGGCCUGCAGCACCCUAUGAUCCAUUGUCUAUCUUGUAUGAAAGAAUCAGAAGCUUGUUCUCCUCAGGGUGUCUUGCGCGGUGCAGCGUUUGCAAGUGCAAGACUUGCUAGUUCCUUUUACACAUUGUAAUGUUCAUUGCAUGCUCUAAUUGUUCUACAUUUGUAAUUUCUUGGUGAAGUUUGGUUACUGAUCCACUGUUUGAUUAACUCUUGGGCCCAAACACUGUACUACUUCUGAUUAGAUAUCUGUAUCUUGACUUUGACCAAAAAAAAUAUCCGGCAGUUUUUGCCAUUAAAGUUUCAUAAAUCAUCUUGCAAAAAUCGUACUAUACAACAAGGGACGGUUUAUUAUAAAAUAUACGUUCCCCUUAUCACAUGCCACUUCCACUCAAAAGGCAACGAAUCAGUUUUCAAUCCUGAGUGAGCAAUUUGCUUUUAUUACCGAUGCCUCCUAUUCCCUUGUGCACCAAGUUUAUUUUGGAUAGGGCUGCAAAAAACGACUAACCAGCUCGGAUUCUCCACCUGCAAAACCGCAUCUGCAGCAACCAACCCCACGCGGUGGAAAAAAAAACAAAACCUAGAAACCGGACGGGGGUGGAUGUGGGGCUCGGAGCCCAAGCAAAAAACGGAUCGGGAGCGCCGGAGCAGGCCAUCACCGGAUGUUAGAGAUAGAAAAUGGUUGAAGUUUGGAGUGGAAAUCAAACAAGCCUUGGAGCAAAGGAAAAAAAAAGAUCAAACCACUCAAGCAUUCAUUUGAUUUAGAAAAGAGAACAUUUGUUAAGGUGGGGAGUUGAAAUCAUCUUUUAAUUAGUUCCACGUAUCUGGUAUCAUUACAGUUGGUUUACUUGUGUAAGUAUAAGUAGCUCUGCCGAAGCCUUUGCUCCUAUAAUUUAGUAACUAGUACAAAUGGAUCAAUAGGAAAAUCAAGUUGCAAUCAUUUCUCAGCCAACCAAACCUAUGUAAAUCAAAUUAUUGUCCAUGCCCGGCAUGCACAGGUGCCUGCCAUGCAUGCAUUGUUGCUCCAUUGUAAUAACCAUUAUUGUCCAUCGAUGUUGCAGCGCAUGUGUGCACUGUGCAGACACCAAGCAUCGAGAUUAUGUACUAGUAAGGUGUUGAAAUAAUGGGCCUAGCCCAUAAGUAAUUUCAGAAUUUCAAAUAAAUCUCAAAGGCCCAUGUGGGCAAGAGGUGGAGUGGUGCAAGUCUUUAGUCCCACAUUGCUAGUCGAGGGGAGGGAUGACCAACUUAAAUAUGGAAGUUGUCUCCACUCCUCCAAGCUAUGUGUGAAGGGCGCGGGCGCGAGGCACUUGCGUGAAUGGUCCGCCGAAAUCUGGCCCCCCUUGCGGGGGCGCGGCUUCCUUUUGCCGUUUUAUUUUUUGGUUACUUGGUCGUUAAGUCAUGGAAUCCUAACCGGUUUAGAUCACGAUCGUGAAGGUUUUUGGGAAGCGCUCUGCGCGACUGCUCGAUCGCUUCUUCCGCUUCGUCAAGUUCUUCGUCGACUCCUUCACCACGGCUCGUCUACCUCUUCGUCGCUCGGGCCUCACUCGUCGUCGCGAACAACGUCAGGCUGCUGAUCGUCGUCGCCUGCUGUAUCCGGUAGUCGUCCAGGAGCCGGUUUUCAUCAAGAAAGAAACGUACGGUCUCUUAACUCACAUUAUGUCUUCCAUACUAGCUAUUAUGAUUGUUGCAGUCUGAUAGCUCUGGAUAGUAUGGUAGAAUGUCUGAUUCUAUUUGCAAUGAUAGACUUGUCUAGAUCUUGCGUAGACAUGUCUAGUUUAAUCUGCUGCUUGUUCAUCAUAUUCAUGAUUUAUUUCUGGAUUAAGUUAAAACUAAAAGUGCUUAUAUAUCCAACAUAAGGUACCAAGAACACGUGAAGCACCCGGGGGAGGCUGCUCCACUCCGCAUGCACAGGUGGGCACGGCACCACUACUCGUCUCCUUCAGGCUGAGGAUAAGUGAUGUACGCUGAUCAACAGACCACGACGGAACCAGCAAUAAUAGUUUCAGCCUGCCUCACAGUAAUUAAUAUAUCCUGUAUCCUCCGAGGACCCCUCCCCUUAAUCUUGGCCUAUUGCAUCCAAUAAUGAUAUGUGUGUUUAUCCAAAUUUACGGCACCUUUGGCGGGGGUUCCACCCAGCUCCGCCCUCUCCACCUUCGGUACUCCAUGGGAAACCAUUCCUUUGGAAUCAAGGAAGCUUGAACAGUAUAACGAAUAAAGUUUCAUAUAUCCAUUUGAUUUCACAUGAAAUAAAAUAUUCUGUCAGAACCAAUGGUUUCACUGAAGCUCCAGGCAGCGAGCGAAGGGGUGAGAGAGGAUAACGCUUACUGUGUGUUACCAUCGCGUGCACCAUGGAUGACCAACGCGCAGCCGAGAUGAAACGGCGGACCUAAACAGGUCCUCGCUAUUUUUGCAGGUUCUCGACCAGGCCAGUUCUUUAGGCCAACCUAUCAUUCACGAGUUAAACAUACGGUGGCUGGAGAAAUGUUCUAUUCUUUUAAACAAUACCAGCUGGUUCCUCCGUUUUUAUUCCACCAAUACAAGCACCACCUUGUAACAUUUCCUAUGUUUUUUUUCCUUUCGUCUGUUUUCUCACUACAUGCGUUGCUCUUUCAUGCAUUUUUUUCCAUUCCUGUAUUCCAAAUAGGUCUACAUGAACACAAAAUGAACUAGGGGACAGAAAAAGCCAGUGAAGUUAGUUUUGAGCUUCACCAGCUACUUGCUACAUAAAGUGUGCUAUAGUCGCAGAAAAGCUAAGCUGGAUCAGACGUGGCCGAAACAAUGCCAAAGAGCUAGGUCCCUAGCUGAUGGCAACACAUCAGAUGACUAGCCUGCUUUUCUGUAAUAAUGAUAUUGAGCAAUACACUGCAUGGCUAACCUGCUUUACAAUAAUUGUCAUUUUAUAAUAUUGGUCAUCACGAGAGAUGCACAUUGCAUACACCGGCCCAUCCCUAUAAAUAGCCAAGCCUUUCAGCCAUCUUGGGCACCUCCUCUCAGGGCCUCGUCUCACCAUCAGACAUCUCGUUCCCAGUUAUAAUUUGCGAGGUUAGAUCAGGCUGCGCCAUGGCGUCCGCAACUGCUGUCAAGAUCGUCGCCACCUUCAUGCUGGUGCUGACCAUGGGCCACCUGAUGGCCGAAGCAUCACCGCAGCCUCGGCGUGUGCUUGCAGAAACGGAGCAUGCUGCGGUGUCCGGGAAUCCUGGCCUCCCAGGUGAUGCUAGCGUCAUGCAGGUCCUCGAACCCGCCCUAGUUUCUCGGCUUGCCUGCAAACCAGAGUGCACAGUCCCUUGGCCUCCUUUUGUAUGUAUCUGCUAGAUCCUCUUCCUGGCUCAACGGAACUUCAGGGAAAUGGCUGUGACGUCGGCCAAAGAAUAAAUUGGAUGAACAUAAUAUACCCCGGGUAGUGUAGCUUGGGCUUUUGUUGAGCGUCUGGUGCUAGUUGUAUUUUGUUUGCUCAUGUGGCUUUGCUUCUGGUUGCAUAUUGGCUUUCCUAUCGCUCUCUGUUGCAGCUAUGGUUUCUGCCAGGUGUGUGUUAAUGCGGUUUGUAAGCGGUGCUUGUUCCUACCUUCUGUUUUCAAUAAAAGAAGUCGGAGUCUCCCUCCGACUCUUGUUAUCAGUCAACAAAAAUGAGUUGUAUCAUAUAUAUCUGCGUCUUUUUUCUACGUAUCUUUGGGCUGCUUCAGCUGGAAGUUUAUCGUAAGUACGUGUAUCAGGAUGAUCGUUUGAAUUAAAACGAAAUGAUAAUGUGUGGCUGCUAGAAAUGGAAUGAGCAUCUUACUAUAUUACUAAUUGGAAGCCUCCACGUGAAGCCACCUAGAAAUUCUAGGUGGACGUUUUAAAAAAAACAAAACUCAUAGAAGCCUCCACCACCUAGGAAUCCUAGGUGGACACUCUAAAAAGAGACAAAUCCUAGAAAUUCUAAAAAAAGAAAAAAAUAAUAACAAUAAGAUUUUUUUGCAGUCAAUUACAUAUAUUUUUUUGAGACACCGUGCUGCUAGCUCUUGCCAUUGCGACCAGUAAAGCAAGCAGAUAGUAAGAUGACAUGCGUGUGGAUUGAUUAAAACAAAUUCAGUUAGUUGAUUCUAAAUCGUAUGUAUCCUAAAAGGAAGAUAUGUGCGUGCAUGGUCCCUAGCGAUGACAUGUAGACAUGUAUUGCAAUUUCUUUUUUAAAAAACAUGUCUAUCUCUAAACCAACAAACAGAAAAAAUAUCAAUCUAAAUCUAAAUCUCUUCCGUUCUCACACGCCUAUUAAAGAGAAGACAACCAAUCCCAUCCAUGUUCCAUAGAAUCCAUCUAAAAGCUUGCUCACUGCGGACGGCAUUUGACGGCAAAUCAAUGAAAGAUCAUCCUCUCCAAAUAGCUGGACGGCAUCACCAUCUUUAUCUCACCAACCUACAGAGCUACAACGAUGUUGUAGAGAUCAACUAGGUAACCUACCAAUCACCCUCCCCUUUUCUAUAUGCUCUAAAGAACACGUGGAGUAAUUAUAGGCCUAUAGGAGCCGACUAACCUAGAUUAAUAUGAAAAAUAUUCCAAUAUUAAAAGCAAGCAGAUAGUAAUACUUGCCUUUGACCAUUUUUCUAGAACUGUUAUUCCUAUUGAAUGUUCAAGUGCUACGGCCAGGCAUCGAAUGCCUGCACGGAACCUUCCUAUUGAAUGGUUACUCUAGAGAUCAACGCACCGCGAGACAUUUUUAUGGAAUUUGUUUGAUUCCCCUUCUACAAUUAGAUUAAUUUUUCAUGGCAUAUAUUACUACUAUUAAAUUAUUUGUUUAUUGUCGGGCCUGCUGCAUGUGUGGUAUAUAUGACUUGCUUCUCACCAUUGUUCUCAAACUAUUAUUCCUAUCGAAUCUUUCUAUCGAAAUAUAUUUUAAUUACUUGAUUGUUGUUUGUGUACCAUAACUUCUGUAUAGAAAAAUUCCAUGUUUGUAGAUAAUGUCUUUUGUAUAGAAAAAUAGCCCAAUUAGAUCCAUCACCAUCUUUUGCUUAUGUAGUUGAACAAGUUGCAAUGUUGAACAAAACUUUAAGUGAAAUUAGACCAGGAAAAGGAAUUGUGGAACAUUAAGGCAAGGGUAACCAGAUUGUGGAAUGCAACCUUACUCAGUAGUGGCGAACAAUUAAGUCUUGACAUGAUCCUUAUUGAUCAAAAGGUAUGAUAGAUGUUCACUUUGAUUGCAUUAUUGGUAUAAUUUUUGGUUUACAAAUUAUUAAUGAUGAUGCAAAAUUAGGGAACCAUGAUCCACGGUGUUAUCAAUAAGCCCUAUAUGAAAAAGUUCAAACCAUUGAUUGAAGAAGGCAAUGUGUACAUAAUUGCAAAUGUCAGAAUCACACCAGAACCACAGAAGUAUCGGCCAGUGGAAAAUGACAGGAUAGUCAACUUCUUACCCACAACUGCACUAAAAACGAUCAAAGAUACUGAAGACAUUCCAAAGUAUAGUUUUAACUUCAUGAGCACGGAUAUGCUUUCAGCAAGAAUAAAUGUGGACAUGUACCUAUUAGGUAAAACAUUACUGGCUUUUCAAUUUUUACACUUCCACUCAUUAAAUGACCAUCUAAUAAUAAUACAUAUUUAUGUUUCAUAGAUGUUAUAGGUAUCUCAGCUCACAUUGGACCGAUAGAAGAAACAAGGACAAACUUCGGAUUUACUAAAAUCCGUGAUAUUGUGCUCCUGAUCGAGUAAUUCUCUUUUCUUUUGUAGAAAACAACUACAAAACUUUCAACAUUUACAUGUAUGUUAUAGAACUUCUGUUGAACUAAAAAAUAUCUUCUACAGUGCCCCUACAAAUAAUUAAUUUCGUAGUUGGAUAUUUAAAAUAUUUAUUAUUCACUUUUAAAUUUGUGGCCAUGAAGUUAAAGUUAGAUUUUGGGGAGACAAAGUUGAGGAAGUUGAUGAUAAGACAAAAUCCCAUGUCAUUGCAAUAACAUCUACAACUGUGAGUAAAUUUGGCAGUAAGUCUUCAUUCAAUAUGAGUUAUUCAAUAUUAGUCAUUCAACAAACUAACCUCGUAAGAAAAAUAAAUAAUUGAUGUUUUAUCAGGGUAUUCUCUAUCGUCAACCAAUGCAACAAAACUUUAUGUAGAUCUACCUAUUCCUGAAACUAAGGAUGCACAUGAUAGGUGAGAAAAAUUAGAUAUUGUUUUUCUAUUUUAAUCUAUGUAGCAUGCACUCUAACAUGAUACAUUCUUUCAUAUGAUAAAAAAAUGUUAGUUCAAUUGAAAAUAUUGUCAAAGAGAUUCAUAUUGAGGACCAUCUAAAAGGGACAUUGGAAGACCAAAUGCAGUACAAUAGAAGAACUUUAGAAGAAUUAAAUUUCAUAUUAUUUGAAACAUCAAAUCAGGUAUGGAUUAGUAUGUUCAUUGUACACUAUACUAUUUAAAGACUUACAUACAUAAUGAUGGUAUUGUUCCUACUUUCAGGAUGAGGUAUUUACUAUUGAAGCAACAAUAAAUGAAAUUAAUGCAACAUAUGGUUGGUUGUCACACCCGAUUUUAAGGACAAAAUUGAGUGCAUUAAAUACAUGUGCACCAGGAUCAAGUUACACACAUCCUAUGAGUACCGUCCUUCUUUGGCACAAAGAUAACCGGUGCUCCCCAUGGUGAUGAACUAGGCCGAAUAAACUAUUUUGCUGAUAAUUCCUCUAGUUGUUGUUUCAAUUCUUUUAAUUGUUCAACCAACAUUCUAUAAGGACGUUUGGAGAUAGGUGCAGUACCAGGUAAAAGAUCAAUAGCAAAUUCAAUGUCGCGGUCAGGUGGCAUACCUGGUAAAUCGUCGGGGAACACAUCCGGAUAGUCACACACCACUUUGAUAUCUUCCAAGGAUUUUCCAGCCAACUGAUUAACUGCACAAUCUGCUGCUGAGGGUAGAGUAGCUACAAACUCCACUUUCUCUCCAUCAGGACCUGUUAGCAGAACUGUCCUCUUGGCACACUGAAUCGUUGCAUCAAAAGCGGCUAACCACCUCAUCCCCAGAAUUACAUCGAUUCCACUGGACUCAAGGACGAUAAGAUCAGCCGGAAACUCUAUACCCAUUAUUCUCAGUUUAACUUGUGGACAGAUGUAUUGAGCCUUCAUUGACCCCCCAGGUGAACUCACUAGCAUAUGACGCCUCAUGGUAUGCAUGGGUAAAUUAUGCUUUGCUACAUAAUGACUAGUGACAAAAGAAUGCGAUGCUCCAGAGUCAAAUAAAACUGAUGCGGGGGCAGAGUUGACAAAGAACAUACCAAGCACUACAUCUGGAGCCUCCUUAGCAGUCUCGGCUUCCAUGUGGUUCACCUUGCCACAAACAAAGCUUUGCUGCCCCUGAUUGCCUUGUGGGGUCUGGUUCCCAUUCCUCGGUUGCUGCAUCUGAUUCUGCCGAGGAGCACUGCUGUUCUGCACGGGGGUAGCUGGCCCACCUCUCUUAGGACAAGAGCUGGCAUAGUGACCAACCUCGCCACACUUGAAGCAGGUAGGACCCACUGGAGCAUUGGGCCUUGUUGGAGUGCCAGUAGGGGUCAUCUGGCGGUUCUGCGUAAAGCUUGGGCGCGGAGUCUGCAUAGUCUGCAUCCCUGGAUGCUGGAACUGAGGGCUAGGGCGCUGGAAUGACUGCUGAGCAGGGCGCGGAAAUGAGUGCUGCCAAAAAUUCCCACUCGGGCCCCCUGCGCGGAACGGCGUCCCUUGCUGUGGAGCAAAGCGAGGGCGGGUGUUGCUUCCUGAAGACUACUGGGAAUUGAAUUUCCUCUUCAUCUCCCCGAGCUCGUUCCUCUUGUGUUCCAGGCCAAUUGCCUUGUCUAGCAUCUUCUGGAAACUGGGGAAGGUGUGCGACAUAAGCUGAUAUUGGAGUGGUCCAAUCAACCCAUCCAAGAAUAGCUCCUGCUUCUGCUCAUCAUCAGCAACAUCUUCGGGAGCAUAUCGGGACAACUGGACAAACUUGUCCCUGUACUCUGCCACUGUCAUGUUCCCCUGCUUGAGAGCAAGGAACUCCUUCUUCUUAAGCUUCAUCAAUCCGGAAGGAAUAUGAUGACUUCUGAAGCUAGUCCUGAAUUCAUCCCAGGUGAUGCCAUUAGCAUUGGCAUGGGUGGUGGUGUAAGCAUCCCACCAAUCAGCAGCUGGCCCUUCCAGGCGUCCUGAAGCAUACAGGACCUUCUCCCUGUCAGUACAUUGGGCGAUAUCCAGCAUCUUCUCCACUGUUUUCAGCCAAUCAUCAGCAUCUAAUGGAUCCGGAGAAUGUGAAAACGUCGGGGGCUUGUGGCUCAUGAACUCCCUAUGCCUGUCCCUUGGCGGCGGCUGCUGCUGGUUGUUGUUGUUGUUAUUGUUCAGCUGAGCUUGUAAAGCUGCCACGGUGUUGGUCAGUCCGGCGAGAAGCUGAGUCUGAGCUGCUAGAAACUGCUCCAUCCCUGCAGGUGCUUGUUGGUUCUGUUGCGGAGCGGUGUUGGGAUUGCUGCUGUUGUCCCUGUGGCGUGGCACUGUGGGACGGUCAACUCCUGAUCCGGACCUGGUGUUUACCAUCUGAGCGUUAGAGACAAUGGAUUUAGAUAGAUGUGUGAAAGAAUAACUGAGAAAGAUAAAGCGACCAGAUGUAAAAGUAACACAGAUUCUGUUAGCUCCAUUUAAUUAGGUGUGGUCGUCAGAAGAAGUGUCCAUAAAUUCUGAACAAUUACCAAGUCGUAACUUAUUAAAUUUGUAAACCAACCCAACUGGAAUCAUCUCAAUCGGACUUCUGGAUCUCGAGUUACAAAAUUAACAAGCUGACAGUGUCGGUCGAUAGGUUCAGAUUCUGAGUGCUUUACUAAUUCGCAUACACCUCCCAGACAGAUACACCAAAAAUUCUGAAAAAUUUACAGAUAGUACUCCACGAAAUUCUGAAACUAACCCCACUGGUUUCAUGUCAUUUGGACUUCUGUAGCUAGAGAUAUAAAUAAAAAAGUACUGGCGUGUCAGUUAAUGUCGAGAACAGAAUUGAAUGUCGCUUAGCUUGCGUGAUGGAUAGAUUUAGACAGAUGGUAGAUCAUGAUUAAGGAAGAUUAAAUACUGAUUUAGAACAGAAAUAAAACCCAACUAAGCACUUUAUUUAUUAAGACCAGUAUCGUGUGGCAAUUGCCCCACAUACCGCACUCAUUACAAAAUCCAACUCAAACAUGUAGCACAAAACCAAUCAUCUAAGCACACUUUAACUAACACACUCGAACGACGUCUAACGAUUACAAGAAUUUAAACUAAAACACUCCUAAUUUCCUAGAGGUCUUCUGCGGCGGUGCCGGGCGAGUCGUAGCGGGGACGCUUAGGCGACGGCGACGAAGCGGGAUGAACAGCAAACUCCUGCGGCGGCGGUGCUCCCGUCGCGGCAGCCAUAUUCGCAUCCCUCUCCCACCGGAGUUCCUGAACCUCCUGUUGAAGCUCCUGGAUGUGGUUGUUUGCUUCAUUCAAUGCGGUGAGAGCUGCCGACGUGUACUUGCGGAGGAAGUCUGUAGCCAUGUCAACCCCAUCGUUAGUAGCGAUGAAGGUUCUUGCUUCCCCACUAGCUCGGUAAGGAAGGAACCGAUGGUAAGUGUGCUGCAAUCGCGGCCGUUCCUUGUGGGAGACGACCUCAAGUGCCCUCCUGGCGGCCUCGGCAAUGCCGGAUUCCAUGGUCCUCCUUAUGGUCACAUCAUGGUGAAAAGCCUUCACCUCCCAUCCUCCCUCGUGCUCCUCACGAAGGACAACCUUCACCUCCCAAAAAGUGGGAUAGCGAGGGUGGGUGAACCGGGAGCACUUGUAGAGUGGCCUCAUGCCGUACCCCAAGCGGUGACAAGUCCACCUGAGUAUGUCGGCCAUGUGCACUCCUUGGCCAUAAUCUUCCUUCACCCAUUUGAUCCAUGUCUCGGGCUCGGGAUCUGCUUCGGGCUCAUCAUCCGUCAAGUCGACGACCGGUACGGGCGUCGGGGCUGGUGCAGGAGCGGGCGCCGGUGCUGGCGACGGUGCUGGUGACGGCGUGGUCUCCUGCUCCACGGUCACGGCGUCCCCGUCAGAGUCAUCCCCCGGAUGCUGGAAGAUCUCUUCCUCUUCUUCCUCGUCCCAAGGCUCCAUGGGGGCGUACGACGGCGCGAUGCCAUGACGCGGCGGACGGGUGCUCUUGCGUGCGGUCAACCGGGUGCGAGCCAUCUAACAGAAAGAAAGAAGAAAAUUUUAGAAUAAAAUUUUGAACAAAGCUAGAUAAUAAAAUAGCAAUAAGGAUGAGACAAAUCAAGUUUAAGAAUAAUUAAGUAGAUUUAAAUUAAGAAAGGUAGGAAUGGCUACUAGAUUAUUAUAAUCCUUAAAUACGACCAUUUUCUAACUAGGCUAACGUCCUACAGUCAACACGGCUCUGGUACCACUUUUGUCACACCCGAUUUUAAGGACAAAAUCGAGUGCAUUAAAUACAUGUGCGCCAGGAUCAAGUUACACACAUGUACGACAAUAGUGAAUAGUAAAGCCAGUGCUAAAUCGAAUAAAGAGAGUAUUAACCAUUAUUACAUGACCGAAUGUCUCAAAUAAACCACAAAGUCUAAUUAUUACGCAGCGGAACUCCAAAGAUGACGACGACUCCAUAGGCAGCUGACUGAAGAAACGUACGCCUAGAACUCCUCGAAGUCGUGGAAGUACUCCUCUUCCCAAUUAACUUGGUCUGAACAGCGGUUUUGCAAGGGUGAGUACACUUAUGGUUGGUACUCAACAAGUCGUGGGAAGUAGUGUAGUGUAAGGCUAAUUCAAGGUAUGGCUAAGGCGUAAAUAGCAUUCGCUUUUAAUUAAGUUGGUCAAAUUUUAUUAGCAUUUACUAAGUAUAAGUUCAUACCACCCGAAAUUAAACAUGAACAUAAAGUAAACCACAUGUGCAUGAAAUGAUAACAAAUUAAAUCCAUCUUCCGAUAAUAUUAUCAUGUGAGGGUCCAGGCCGCUCUUAACCGUGAGCACGGCUGAUUGAUCAGUUUAACACUCUGCAGAGGUGGCACAUCUUUACCCACAAGUCGCGUAAAAGUUCAAAAGAACUUUGGACCCAACCAUGCGGUGUUUGCAAGGCACCAUACCACACUUCCGAGGUGUGAUUGCAUAGGGACGCUACGAGGCCUUUACAAAGAUUCAUUAAUCAGUGGUAACCCGCUAAGGUUUCGGUGUCUGGCGUGCACCACCCAUCCCAGGUAAAAUGCAACGACUCAGUCCCCCCCCUUGAAUCAUCACGAGUAAGGUCACCCCAGACUAAGGUUUCUAAUUAAUCAGCCAAGACCAGAGCUAUUUAGUCUUGUGGUAGCACUGUUUUCCUGGGUGGUCGCUCCAUGUUCUGAUUAACAAAUAAUGAUCUUGUCUUAAUGAAAGGUAUAACAGAAAUAAGGCAAGAUUAAGCAUUGUUUUUAGUUAAACCACCAUGUACCAAGUAAGCACUAAGCAUGAGCUACCCAACAUAAAGUAAACCGGUUGGUCAAGGCAAAGGUAAAACAAUCUAGGCCAACCUUAAUUGGGACCCAUCAAUUUAAUCUUAAUAUGUGCACAGCAUAAAUGUUGAGUACGAGAAAGUAAAGGUGUAUAGGACAAAAAGGUAGUGAUCAAGGACACGACUUGCCUUCUUGGCCUUGCUCCUGCUGUUCGUACUCCUCGAAGGCUUGAUCGGCAACUCCCUCGAACUGCGGGGCGUCUACACGCAUCACACGAGCACAUACAAGCAAACAUGGGCAAAAGUAAGAAAACAGUAUACCAAACAUAGUCAAACAGAGAAAACAAGCUUGAAAAGAUGAUCUACGCUUUAAAACGAACACGCGGAUAUAAAGAACGCGAAAAACGGAGUUAAGAUGCAAAAGAUAUGAUUAAAACAAAAUCCAGGGACUUUUCUGUAAGAAAAACAAAACUUUUAGGGCCUAUCCGCGAAAACCGAGGGCUUAUACGUAAUUAUGCGUAUAAACCGAGGGUCUGAUGCGUAAAAACAUCAAACCCGGACGGCGGGUUGAUUUCUGGAAAGGUCAAGGGUUAAACCGAAAAAUGCGAGGGCAGAUCUGUAAAUACUUUCAACGCGAUCUGGACCGCGGGUUGAUUUGCGAAAAAGGCGGGGGCUAAAGUGCAAAAACUGCACGGCGCGGCUCGGUUGACCGGUACGCGAUCUUGAUUGACUCGCGUCCGGCCGUCGGAUUAAGAUCCGACGGUCGCGGUGAUCCGCGACAUCGCGGCGGCGGCGGCGAGCGGCGGCGAGCGGCGGCAAGCGGCGGCGGGUCGCCGGAGUUAGGCAAAAUAGCGCCACGAGGCACGGUUUAACGCGCGGGUUGCACCAAAAAAGAGAGGGGAACACGUCGAUCCCGUUUUGGGGGUUCUUGUCGACGGGGGCUCACCGGCGACGGCGAACGGCGGCGAGGAAGAGGCGGCGGCGCUAGGAGCUCGGGCGGCUAGGGUUUCGGGGAGCUGCGGCGCUGGUUUUGGGCGGAGGAGACUGGGAGGAGGCGGCGGCUUUUAUAGGGCUUGGAGAUAGAGCCGGCGCGGGUUCAAAUCCCCCGGAGGAGUCGGAGCGGAUGGAGUCCGGGGCGGAGACGGCGCGCGGCGGUUGCGGAGUUCUGACCGGAUUCGGCCGGAGGUGGGAGACGAUGGGUGGGGUCCACCCGUCAGUGGCGGAGGGGAGCGGUAGACGGGCCGGCGCGACCGUGGGCUGGCGCGCGCUCGUGGGCUGCGGGGAGCGGGAGAGAAGCGGCGAGCGGGCGCUGGCGGAGCAGGCCGAGCGGAGGUAGAGCUGGGCCGCGGAGAAAAAGGAGGAGGCCGGCGGGCUGCUUCGCAGGCCGGUAAGGAUGAGGCGGCCGGGCCGAAGAAGAAAAAGAAAAGGAGGGACAAGGAGCUUUCGGCCGAGGGAAAAGAAGAAGAAAAAGAAAAGGAAGAAGAAAAGGGAAAAGGUUUUGGAAUUUGAAUUUAAAUCUGAAAUUCAAAAUUUGAUUCAAACUCAAGCAACCAAAAAUUAUGCUCCAGCAUGAAUGCACAAAUAAUUCCUAUGAUGAAUUAAUUGAAUUAAAGAAAAUGAAUUUAAAUGCCUAGAAAUUAAAUAACACCCUAAUUUGAGCAAAUUUUAAUGAAUUUGAAUUAUUGAAAUUUUGGGUGUUACAUUGGUACUACAUCUCAUGUAGUAGAGGCGAUUGUAAGAAGCAACUUGAAAAGAAGUUUGAUCACUACUAUUGCAAUAAAUGUGACAAGAGAGCCGAACCUAAAGCCCAGUAAAUUAUUUAGUAGUUUACAAUCUUAUUAUAAUACUUCUAUUUCUAAUAGGAGAAUAAUAUUUUCAGAUUCAAAUUAAGCUUCAAAUAAGUGAUCCAACAACAAGUGCAACUUGUGUACUUUUGACAAGGAAGCAGAAAUGAUAAUUAAUGAAUGAGCAGAUUCGAUGAUCACCUCAGUUGAUCAUGAUAAUAAGUAGCUACCAAAAUCAAUUCAGGAAAUAUGUGAAGAAACAUUGAUUUCUCAAUUCAGAUUGACCGAGUACAACUUGACAAGUUUUAGACCUGAUUAUACUGUUUCAAAGAUAUUUUUUCCAAAAGAAAAGGGCAGUUCAAGAAUUGGUAUGGAAAGUGUAAAAAAGGUAACACUUUAUUAUUAAUUUUUUAUUGCACUUUUUUCUUUUGAAUCCGUAAUACUUAAUAAUUUUACUAUAUCAAUGAAACAAAUUCUAACCUAAAUUUAUUUUCUUUUUUAUUAUUUGUAGGAAGUAGAAGACAACUCAGACAAAUGCUACACGAUAACUACCGAGAAUGAAGAGGUAGACACUGAUGACUCUUUUACCGAGAAAGUAACAUUCGUAGAAGAAGCCAUAAGGACUGGGGAAAGAUUGGCUAGAAAAGUAUACUCACUUCCAUGUCAGUGUUCAUUCUAUUUACAAUACAUGCAAAAAAAAUAUUAUUCAUGCAAAAUUGCAGGUCUACUAAGCAUUAAAGGAAUAGCGGAUAGUGCAAUAUGUAAUCUGAGCAGCAUGCAUUACAAAGUGCUCUACUGCAAUUAAAUUAAAAAACAUGAUAUAUGUUGAAUUCUUAGACUUUAUUAUUAUACUUUUCUACGUGACAAUUCACAAUUUUUUAGAAAAAAGAAGAUCCCAGAAGAAGUGACCAUGAAAAAAGGUCUAUGACCAGCAAUAAGAAAAAAUGCAAGCAUAGAAACAAAUCCGUAGAAAACAUAGAAAAUAAGGUACUCCAUAAACAAAAGUAUUCUCUUAUAUUUUUAUUAAAUAUUUUUUUAACACUUGACAAGUUCUUUUUUAGGAUCAAUAUAUCAGCAAUUCAGAUGUCAUUGGAGAUGAAACCUUAGUUCAUCCAAAAGGUCAAAAAAAAACAUCUGAAGAAAGGUGUUUGGCUGAAAAGGAAAAGCAAAAAAGUGGUAAUGCAGACAAACACAUGCAGAAAAAUAUAAAAACAUGUCAUAGGGAGGCAGACCAAUCUUGCAAGGAGGUAUAGACGAAACGUGAUACACGACCUGCCUACCUUGUCGUGGAUACCCCAAGAAGAUGUCAUAGAGGUGCAGACCAAGCUAGCAAGGAGGUCGAAACGUGAUACACGGCCUGCCUACCUUGCCGUGGAUAUUAGCCCUGAGAUCAUUCUACUGUUCAAGGAAUAACACUCAAUGCUGCUGCUGCUGCUGACCUGGCUCCAUAAAGUUAUACUCCUCUAGGUGCUUGCACUAACUUUAUCUGAAGUAUUAUUCUCUCUGCACUGUAUAUAUGGUUAUGGAGUUUGCUGGAGUAUCCGGGGCGAAGAACCUACAUAAUACGUCUUGGAACUAAUUGACAUUGAUUCACAGACAAACUCUACAAGGUGCUGUUCUUGCCAUUUUAGAGCAUCCAAAGGACUAUAAAUAACAUAGUUUACCAUAUACCAUAUACCAUAUACCAUAAUAUGUUAGCUAAAAUAAGAGCAUACACAUGUUGCAGGAGUCCAAAAGCACCGGUUGAGGACCAGGUACAUUGAAUUACUAGAAAAAGACAGGGGACAAGGUUUAGGUAACCACAUGAAACAUUUGAAUUUAUUGUACUAUGAACACUUAGUUACCAUGCCAGGAGCACAUAGUUAACACUAACAUUUAGCCACUUUAGAUCAUCCCGAAUCACCAAUGACCCUCAAUAGUGACAAAUUUUGGUUUAAAUGCCAUCACCAAUGAUCCUCAAUAGUGACGUAUUUAGGUUUAAAUCCCGUCACUAAUAACCCUCAAUAGUGACCUGUUUUGGUUUAAAUCUCAUUACCACUGAUCCUCAAUAGUGAUGUGUUUUAGCAAAACAUGUUAUCAAUGACUUGUCAUUGGUGACGUGUUAAAACGCGUUAUCUCAAUGGCAAAUCAUUGGUGACGUGUUAUCUCAAUGUUAUCAAUGUUCUAUUCUUUUCAACAAUACCAGCUCGUUCCUCCGUUUUUAUUCCACCAAUACAAGCACCACCUUGUAACAUUUCCUAUGUUUUUUUUCCUUUUGUCUGUUUUCUCACUACAUGCGUUGCUCUUUCAUGCAUUUUUUUCCAUUCCUGUAUUCCAAAUAGGUCUACAUGAACACAAAAUGAACUAGGGGACAGAAAAAGCCAGUGAAGCCAAUUUUGAGCUUCACCAGCUACUUGCUACAUAAAGUGUGCUAUAGUGACGUGUUUUAGCAAAACAUGUUAUCAAUGACUUGUCAUUGGUGACGUGUUAAAACGCGUUAUCUCACUGGCAAAUCAUUGGUGACGUGUUUUAAAAAAACAUGUCACCGUGAGAGUCAUUGGUGAAGGGUAAUUAAAAUGCGUCACUAAUGUUGUAGCAUUAGUUAUGAUAAUUUAGUAACGCAAAAAUCUACCAUCAGUAUUGAGCUUUAGAGCCAUCGCUAAUGUGGGUUUCUUACAUAGUGAUGCAAGCUCUACAAGGUGCUGUUGCUGCCAUUUUAAAGCAUCCCAUGACUACAUGUUAAUAACAUAGUUUACCAUAUAUCAUAAAAAUAUUAGUUACAAUAAGCACAUACGCAUGUGGAAGAGUCCGAAUGCACCGGUUGAGGACUAAACACAUUGAAUUACUAGAACCAAAUGUAUGUUUAGAACAAAGACAGGGGUCAAGGUUUGGGUAACCGCAUUAAAAACAUUGGAUUUUACUGUACAUGAACACUUAGUUACCAUUACCAUGCCUUGAGCACCUAGUUACAACAAACAUUAAUUUAGCCACUUUAGAGCUUCCAGAAUCGCUAUAAAUAAUAUACCUACGCCGUACCAUGAAAACAUCAAGAAGAGAGACGGAUACAUGGACCACCAUCAAGCGAGUAGUGACAGCACGCACAAGAAUACCCGGAACCUGUUAGCUUGUCUGUAGUGAUCUGUUUUCUUCCCCAUAAAAUCCAUGAGUAUUGCCACAAAUAAUGAAAGAGGCUGACCAAGCUAGCAAGGAGGUAGAGCAAACGUGAUACACGGCCUGCCAAGAUUGCCCUGGAUACGCCAAUAAGAGCGACAGAUACAUGGAUCACACCAAUAUGGUGAAACGUAUAUUCAUCACACAAGCAAAGCUGGUCAGUUUAUCCAUGGUCAAAUUGUGGUCUUUGUUUUCACUUGAGAGCUAAUUGAGGCACUAUAAUAUGGGCAGGCCUAUCUUCAACAGACAUGACAGCUACAGGGAACUUGACAUAAUUUGCUGGGCCGCCUGUGCACAAUUAUUUGUUUUAUUGUCCUUGCAUAGAAUGCUAAAAUACUCUUUACAAAAUGUUGGAUCUAAUAUUUGAAAUAUAGAGUAGUAAUCAUAUAUUGAUCAACAACUUGAAAUUAUCUGUACAUUCUCGGUGAAGCUGUUGAACUAAUUUUUGCAAAUUAUUAAUUCAUCUCAUUACGUAAAGAAAAAAGUAAGUGGAUAAGAUAUUUCGUGGACCACAUCACUGCAAACAUGUCAUGGAGAGACAGACCAAGGAGGCAGGACGUGAUACACGACUUACCCUAGGUUGCCGUGGAACCGCCAAGAAGAGAUACAGAUACAUGGACCACACCAUCUUGGGAGUAGUGACAGCAUAUAUGCAGAAGAAUACCCCGUGCCUAUUUGCAUGCAUGUCUCAAGUGAUCUGUUUUCUUCAGAAAAUACAUGAGCAUUGCCAGAAAGAAUGGCAAGAGACAAACAUGUCAUAGAGACUUGCAUGUCUUGCCUUGGAUACGCCAAGAAGAGGGACACAUACAUGGAUAACACAAAUCUAGUGACACGUAUAUUCAUCACAAAGGCAAAUCUGAUAAUUUUAUCCAUGGAGCAGACCAAGGAGAAAUUGAUGACGGACAUGUGAUCUCUGUAUUCAGUUGAAAGCUAAUUGAGCUACACUAAUAUGAGCAGGACUAUAUUCAAGAGACUUGUUGAGAGCUACAGGGAACUUGUAAUAAUUUGCUGGGCGGCCUGCGCACAAUGAUUUGUUAUACAUAGUUGAAAUAUUUCAAGAAUUUAUCAACCUCAUACUCUGAAACCCUUGGUGCAAUGUACUCUGCUUUCCGAGGUAGACUGUUCACGUAAAAUGAGGUCAUGCGUAAGACGGAAUCGGAUUGGAUUCACAGGGAAUCAGAUUUGGAUAGCACCUUUUAGCAGGUUUUUAGUCAAAUGCAAAUUCGGAUCCACAUGUGGUUGAAUGCGAGUUCAAAAUUCUACUUGGAUAUCCAUUUAAUUUAGGUGAUAGCAAUUAGCACAAAAUGUUGGAUGAACAAAAUCAUAGUUAGACAUACAAUUACAUGUAUGGUUAAAGUAUAAUACAAUACACCAAGAUUAUUCCUUGAAAAUAUUUCUUAAAAAUAUUAUAAUAAAUGAAUAAAUAUAAUUGUGGCCACCAACAAAUAGUCGGUGGUCGCUAAGUUGGAGCCAUUUCUGGUUACUAAUGCGGCCUUCUCCUCGACCAGCGACGACAGCUGAGCUUGUUCCUUCUGACACUAAAUCAUCAGAGUCUUCCCUCCACUACUAUAGAAUGCACCUUUAGCACCAAUUGGGAAAUCCCCUUCAGUAUUGGAUGCUGCAACCAGUGCUAUAUAUCAAAAUGGAGACUAAAAGCCUCGGUCUUGGGUACCGGUUGCAUAACGCAUUACUAAAGGAGGCAAAAGAGAAAUGUAACAAAAAAAAUAUUUUGAAUUCCAAGAAUGUUUCACUAUUCAAGAUGACUAGCUGAGAGUCAACAGACAAGAUACUAGGAAUGUGGGUGCUUGAAUGCAUUUGUACAGAGGUCAUACUAUUUACAAACUCUUCUAUGUUUCCAUAUGACUACCUACUUCAAUGUCACGCGAGCCAUUCAGCUGGACACAUGGCACACUAGCUUGCAUGUCGAAUCCAUGAUUAAUUAUUUGCACUUGUGAUCUCUUACCAGUAUUUGUCCAGACUAGAAACGUGCAACACAUUUUUAGGAUAUGGACACGCAUAUAUUUGGACUAGUAUACAGGUCACCUUUGGAUGCGUACAAGGAUGACCGGGAGGGACUAAUGGAUACAAGGAAGGGACCAUCAGGAUUAAUAUUGACAUAUGCCACAUGACAAUCUUCAUUGUCAUGCAAUCCCUAUCAACAAUCAUGGAAUCCCUAGUGUACUAAUCCCUGGAGGGUUGUGUGGAAAUUUAUUUUACCUUGCGGUGAAAAUCUCAUGAGCAGUCAUUAGUUAAGCUGACUAGCUGAGAUAUAAUAGACAAGCUAGUAAGAUUGGGAGCAUCAAUGCAUCCAUACAGGGUCACAAUAUCCUUUCCAUUCACUUUUAUAUAUAACCCUACGAAUACAAGUCCAACGAAAUGCGGGCCUUUCGAUCAAGAUAAAUUAAAUGGCCCACUUGUAUUUCUAAUCCAGGAUUAACUAUGCCCUCUGUUCAUCUCUUGCAAGCACGUGCAACACAUUUUCACGAUAUGGACAUGCAUGGAGGUUAUUAUACUGUUUGGACAAACUCUGAUGUGCCAUGACCUAAAUGCUUAGGGCCUGUUUGGUUUGAGUUGCUUAUUAUAAGCAACUUAAAGUUGCUUAAAGUUGCUUAUUUGAAGUUGCUUAUUUUUAGUCUAAACUGUUUGGAUACCCUUGCUUAUGAGCAUUGAAUGAGUUGGACAUUGUCAAAUUUGCCCCAUGUGUUGCUACCCCUCCAAUUUGCCUCCCCACCCUUCUUCUUCCUGCACACGUCCGAUCCCGGGGGCCGACGGCGGGCAGGGAGCAGCAGCAGCUGGCCAGGGCGGCGGUGGGGCGGGAGCGGCGGCGCACACCAGCACGCGCUCGCACGCCAGGUGCUAGGGCGCGGCGAGGCAGUCGUCGUAGCCCACCGGGAGCGGGUGCUCGGGCGCGAGGCGGUACUCGACGGAGAUGCCGAGCGUCGGGCGCGCGGCGGCGAGCGCGUUGAGGAAGCGAUGGUAGUGCGGCGACGUCGCGGACUCCGCCACGAAGCCGCCGCCGUGGACGUACACCACCACGGGCAGCUUCGUCUUGCCGUCGGCGGCCGCGGCCGCGGCCUGGGGUGGCAGGUAGAGGCGGACGGAGCAGGAGCCGAGGUCGACGUCCCUGGAGUCGACGCCCGUGGCGGCGUCCAGGCUGGGCCCGACCGGCGGCGGCACGAGCGGGCGCUCGAUGCGGCCGCUCUUGUAAAUCCGACGGGUCUGUGCGGAGGCGGGCGGCGGGCGGGAGCGGCGGGUGGGAGCGGCGGCAGGUGGUGCGGAGGCCGGCGGCGGCGGGUGGCGCGGAGGAAGGGGAGCUGGUGAGUGGUGACAGGGGAGGGGGGGAGAGAGAGGGGGGGUAGGGUGCAUUGAAUGAGGGCAGGAGGUGUAAAGUGCACCUUUUAGUCCCCAUGAGCAACCAUAAGCAGCCCAAGAGUUGCUUAUUUGCUUAUAAUAAGCAACCUCAUAAGCAAGAGUGAUUGGUUUCAUAAGCAACUUAUUUGCUUAUUUUAAGUUGCUUAUGCAUAAGCAUGUGAAACCAAGCAGGUCCUUAACCUAUGGUUGUGGCACCACACAGUACAUAGUAUUUAAUAAUGCUAUUCGUUUGGUAUGUGCACAAGGGCACGCAUGAAAUGUCUGGCCCACGGUAAACAAGUACGGACGCUGCAAAUAAUCUACUCUGCUCGUCCAGUCCCUAGCCUAUAAAUAGAUGCCAUGCUAGCUCUUGUUGUGCUCACAAUUAAUCCUGACUACACACGAGCUUCUCUCCCUGGCCAAGACACAAUCAUAGUAUGAUGAAGAACAUGGCACUAGCCGGCAAUGGUAUGAAGAACUUAAUCCUCGCUGUUCUCUUACUGUGUCUAGUUAUAGGGCAGAUACAAGUGGAAGCUAAGAGCUGCUGCCCAUCCAUUACUGCAAGAAAUAUCUACAAUGCCUGCCGUAUCACGGGUACAUCCCGUCCAACGUGUGCAAAACUGUCAGGCUGCAAAAUUAUCAGCGGGGACAAAUGCAAGCCCCCUAACGACCACCUCACCCUUGACCCGGACACUGGUAAAUAAUAAAUUUAUCUCACUUGAUUUCUUCGUGUUUUGAGUCGUUAAUGUAUUUUCCAUCUGAUGAAACGUAUUGGUUUUGCAUUGAAGAGGAAGUUAAUGUGCUUAACUUCUGCAAGUUGGGGUGUGCGUCGUCUGUGUGCAACAACAUCAACGCUGGUAAGCACCUUUUGCUCAGACGGAGAAAACAAUAAUCAUUAAUUAGCGGCAGCUAGAAUCCUAUAAUCUAAUAUAUUUAUAUAUAUAUAUAAUUUUAUCAGCUCUGGGAAAUGAAGAGGCGAACGAUGCCGUUGAGAGUUGCGACCAAGCCUGCUCUAGCUUCUGCAACGUGCACGUUGGCGCUGCCACCGUGGUUGCUUAAGCAAAUGCAUCCAACUGGAUCGUCCUUGUGCUAAAUAAUUGGAUAUCGUAUCCACUUAAAGCUGCCUUGUGUAGUACGUUUUUGUUUGUGUCUCUCUUUAUAUUCCAAUAAGGUCGGUGAUCUUGAUGCCACACACUCAGACGUGUGUUCAUCUCCAGAUACUACUCCAUGCUACCUGCCCUUUGUGUUUUGUUCAAUAACUGGGUAUCAUAUCCCAGCCAGUGUGCCAUCUGUUUUGUGUUUAUUUCCUUCUAGUUUCAAAGGGGUUAUCAUGAUGUUACCUUCUUUCGAUAUGGUGCUUUGCAUGACUACUGUUGUAUGGUACCAUCUUGUUGGCCAAUAAAUACAUCUUAUCCUAUGACCCUUUGCUAUGACCCUUUGCAAAUAAGUACAAGAUUGUUAAAUACUCGGUAUAAAUUGACUACUGCUGUGAGUUCCCUUUCAGCUUAUCGUAGGCAUACAUUAUUGCUAGCACGGUGAAGACAACCAACACGAAUGGUCAAGUAAACGUACCGGUACUUUUGUAUACCAACACCCUUGCUUAAAUGUACCGGUGUUACUCCCCACUAGCACAUAUAUUCUUAUAUGCUAGCCGGCUUGAAAAUUAACCGAUUAAAAUAAUUAUUUCAAGACAGAAAUAACUUAUCGGCUUCUCGAAGCAUGUGUAAUGUGAAUUCAAGGACUUGAUGGAAGUUGAAUCGCUUAAUCUAGAUUGCUUUCAGGAUUUUGGGUAACUAAAUUUAACAUUUGCACAUACAAAUGUUAAUGUACAAAUAUUAAAUAUAGUUACCCAAGCAGAAUAUGAAGAUACUCUAUAGUAUAUAUAUACUAUAUAAAUCUAGUUAACAUUUAGUCUAAAUGUUAAAUCUAGUUACCUAAAAUCCUGAAAGCAAAAUGUAUAAAUAUAUAUCUUUUAAGGAAUCCCAAAGCAAGAGUUCAGUGGCAUUCUAUAGUCCCAUGCUGCUAGUUUGAGUUGGUCGAAGCCAACUUAAAUAGGAGAGCUCUCUCACUUCUCUAAAUACGUAACUGAAGGAGAGAAGGGGGCUUGGUUACACAACGCACGCACGCACGCAUAUUUGCGUUCUUUUCGCGUAACCAACCGCGUGACUUGAAACUUGCGACGUAGCGUGCUGCCAAGUCAAGUUGAUAUAACCUUUUUGCCGUAGGCGUGUAAUCUUUUGACAACGGUCAUUGGAGGUGAUAAGCACGCAGUCAAUACCUUAAUCCUGAGUUAAUAGGGCGGUUACUACUGCCAAUUAGUGGGGCAAUUUUGUAGGGGAAACGGUUAGCAGAGGGCUACCAUCUUCUCUAUAAGAAGUUCUGGAGACGUCCAGGAACACACAUGUACAUGUGAGAGACCCACGAAUUCCUUCCCAUCUCCCUUUUCCAUCUGGUGAAGUGUGCUAUGGUACUGAGCUGCUGGAUCUCGCCGGCUCUUCUCCUUGGCGUGCACCGAGGAGGAGGGUGAGCGGUAUCUCCGAGCUAUUGCCGUCAGGAAGCCUGCACGAGGGACAACAAUAAAGUUUUUGGGUAGCGCAACUACGCAACCGCUCGAUUCGAUCGACUAUGUUCUGCGCUGCCUCAUCUUCGAUCUGCACUGCAACACGUAACCCUGCAGCAAGUCUACACAAGGACGGAGCACUAAUCUGUAAGUCCUAGAUUGGUUUCUUACAGAGUUGUAGGUUACACAAGAUCUAGAAUUGUUACAUACUUAUUAUUAUGGGUUACAUGAUGUUUUGUACGGUUACGUCUAUUUUGCAUAUGCUAUUUUUACAUACCGUUUACAUGCAUAUGUAAUGGUUACGCCUAGCUAUUUGAAUCUAGAAUUGGGUUACAUAGCAGUAGCAAUGACUUACGUAAUAUGCCUCAUGUUUAUAUCUGGUAGAAUUUAACACGUAUCUCCAACAUAUUUUGAGGCAGUAUAAAUUUCAAUUCCUUUUGCUGCUCUGUUAAAUCCCGUCUUUCGUGUGGCCCAACACUCUAGUAUGCAUGUAGCACCAAGCUUGUUUGAGCCGCUUUGUGCUCUGAUUUUGCUGUCUGUAUCAGGUUGGACUGUUUCUUUGUCUUGCGAUGUAUAGCUUCAUAUCUUCUAGAGGUUAGACAGCAAAACCCGCGUUCUCUUAAGGCAACAACUCGAAGAAUCUGCAGCGCUCCUGAUAUAUCACUGCUGCAGAAACAAUCUUUAGUACUGAUUUCCAACCCCCUUUAGUAUCGGUUUGGCAAUCAGUACCACUACGUCGGUACUAAAGGGAGUUCUCUAGAAUCGGGUCAAAUAACUGGUACUAAAAGUGCUCCUCUACUACCAGUUGGUAACACCAAUAGGUAGUAACUUUUUUUGCACCCAAAAAAUUAAAGAAAAACAGCCGGGAGGCUCGCGCACACACGCAUCAUGAGUAAUAUGCGCGUGCAUGGUUUGUGGGAUUCCAACCCACGACCAAGCUAUAAGCACGUAGUUACAAAAAAAUUAAACACUUAGACAUUUUAGAGCAUCCCAAAUAACUACAAAUUCUUUAGUUUACCAUAUACCAUAAAAUAUUAGUUAAAAUAAGAGCAUACGCACGUCGGAAGAGUCCCAAUGCACCGGUUGAGGAUCAGACCAGGCACUUUGAAUGCACAUGCCAUAAGAUAAUUCUGCAGGACGAUGAUUGCAAUAAUGGACCAUCGAGAAGAUAGGGGCGAUGGGGUUGCCUCAUCAAUUAUGACUUGGCGCAACAAGACCAGCAAAGUCUUUAUCGACAGGGGUGGAUCAAGGGGUGGGGCGGGUAGAGCUCCAAUCUUCCUACCGCCGCUCGAACAAUGGAGCCCCCCUUAGCCCCUCCAUAAAUUUUUAGGUAGAAGAAAAAAGAAGAGAAGGGAAGGAAGGGGAAGAAUAGGGAGCCCCUCCUAAGUAGGUCGCCAUCGUGCUUCCCAACGCAUGAUCGCCGCACCGCAUCCAUUCCUCUACAAGCCUCCAGCGUCUCUCCUGCCGCUACCUCUGAACCAUGUGCAGCUGCAGACCCAACUAGUGUCUUGUCACCCAUCUCAAUCCCAACAGAGCGGCGGCUCCUGCCAGCACAAAUCUCCCUCCGCCUGUUCUUCACGAUCGAUGGCCACCACAAGCAUAAACCUCGCCUUCGCAUCCACGCAAAAGGGUCGCCGGUGUGCCUUCUCGCAUCGCUUCUCAGCCUCCUUCACUUGCGGCUGGCCAAGAACCGUGCCACCACCUCGGGUGCGCGCCACCGCUCCAGGGCCGCUACCCCAUGCGUGCGGCCGCCGCCGGCCACCACGCGUGUGCAACCGUGUCGCACCGCUUCCCUGCUCUGUGCCACCACUGCUACUGCACCACCAGCUCCACCACCUUGGGCUGGUCGCCAGGGUGACUGAUUGGUGGAUUAUUACUACAAAUAAGUUCCUUAUUAUCUGCAACUACUAUUAACUCAGGGAUACAUGCGUCUUUUGCUUCUCCUGUUAAUAUGUCCUAAAAUAUCUAGAAUGCCUUAUAUUUCUGGACGGAGGAAGUAUUUGAAUAAAAUGAACCAAUUUUAAAAAAUGUGUUGUACACUACUACAGAAAGAACUAUCAGUGUCAAACCCAAAAAUGUCGUCACUGCCAGUUUUGGGCAUCGUUGGUGAAAGGUUGGCGGUGAUGGGUAUCCCCUUCAACAACGGCACUAGAGCUAACAGUGAUUGACAUUAGAAAACGAAAAAGGGGACCCACCUAGCCACCCCUGCAACCCGGCUGGCCGUGCCUCCCGUCAUCCCCACCACCUCGCCUCCCCCGUGACCCCCCGCCGGCGCCCUUGCGCCUAGCCCCCUCGCCUGCCUGGCCGGCCACCCUCGUCACGAGAGAGAGGGGUGCAUGUUGUAUAAUUGCGUGAAUUUUUAAUGUUUAAUUUCAUGUAAGUUUCAUAUAAUAAAUUGUACAAGUUUUAUUGUAUAUAUGAAUUCCAUAUAUAUAUAUUUAUAAUUUAAUGUAUGGUUUCAUGUGUAUAUUUCAAUAAUGUGUAUAUUUAGUAGAUAGCCGAUUUUCUUUUUCUACAAGACAAGGGUUGAUGUAUAAUUACGUGUAUAUGUUUAUUGUACGGGCAAUUAGGACAAGUUUUGUAUAAAUUUCUUUUAUUUCAUGGUUGUUGUAUGGUUUCAUGUAUAUACAUUUAUUGUACUACUUGAGACAAUUUUUAAUUUAAUGUUUCUAUGGUUACAUGUGUGUAUAACUAAUUGUAUUAUUAGUUAAGAUGGGAGCCAAAGAGGAUGAAAGGUAUAUAAUGGAGCAGAUUAUUGCUGGCGGUAGUGGCUCAAACGUUGCAAGAACCUACAUCAAGGGUGAGGGUAGCUAGGUGGACAUGUACCUCAACAUGUCCAGUGAUGGCAAUGACGAUGAGGAGCACGAGCAUGACGUUUAUGAUAGUGCGGAACAAGACAUUGCAGAAUUGGAAGGUUCUAAUGAGGUGUGCUUCAUGUUGAUGAUCUGGUUGGCUUUUUUUCUUUGGUCACACCUUAGUUACCAUAGAACUUCGUCUCGGGAGAAGAUUGGAGGUGCUAUGGUGAUUGGAAUUUUAUUGCCUCCAAAUAUGAUUUCCAUCGAAUCAUAUCCCUUGUAUUUAUCUUCUUUUUAUUUGUGAGAGCAUCUUCUUUAUGCUUGCAAAACAAUUCAAGUGCACAUACUACACCUAGGGUGAUGAUUAGGAGUAGAAACAAUUGCCAACAAACGAACACCACAUCCUAAGAUUCUUAACUUGUGGUAUAAUUAGUCUAGUAAAAAGAAAGAUAAAAACCUAAUGGGUGUACGUGAGUGCAAUGCGUAUAUGCAUAUGAGUGGAAGGCAUAUAAGCAAAGAUAAUAUUUACACAUAGAUCUAAGCACCAUGUUUACAACUAAGUUGCUGAAUUUCUCCAUAGCUAUAGAGAUUAAUGAACCAAGGUCAAAACACCAUGUCUAUCCCAAGAUCAGUAAUUCUUUAUAGCACAAGAAAAAGAAAGCGCAUUGCAAAGUUUAUAAACCAACCAAUGCAGCAUGAAAACAAGAUGAAUAGCUAGCAAGGUUUAUUAAACUGAAUGAUGACGGUCUGCAAGCAAGUUUGAACACCAUCUUUACACAAGAUUGCAAAUGGAAAAUUCCCAUAUGAAGAACUAACAUGGAUAUGAAAUCAUUCAUCAUAAAGCGUAAAGAACAACCAAGCCAACCAUAUGCAAAGCAUGAAUGGAAUGCAAUGAAGGUGCAAGAGAACAUUUUUGGAUGAACCCAUUAUGAUGAUGGCAAAAUGCGCCGUGCCCCCCAGCCCCCGCGGUGAGAUCCCGCCGCUCGCUGCCGCCAGACCCUAUUAGGCCUCCACCGGCAGGUCCACCCACGGUCCCGCGCGACGUGGCAGCCUCUUGGCUCUCGGCGCUCGCGGCACGCCAGUGCUGGCGCAGCCCCACCAGGCGACUACCCUCCCCCCAUAAGGCCUCGGCCCCUCCCCAGCGCCGCCCCCCAACACCAGGACUGCCUGCUGCCCCCCACCGUGAGGUAAUCGAAAUCGACUGCUCAAUCUCUCAAUCUGUUGAUAUGAUGCACACGGUUGCAAAAAUAGAUGUGUCAAAAUAGAUGUUUUGCCAAUUGCUAUAGAUGCAUACGGUUGACAUGAAGUCAAAAAUGACAUUUGGUUCCUUGUAGGCAGUCAAAAAUGAAGAAGUCAAAAAAUAUUGAUCUGAAAUCAAUGUGGGAAAGGGCUAUGAAGACACGCAGGUAGAUUCCCUUGUGAACUUUUUAUGUCGUUCGUCUAAAUAAUUUUUUGCAAUGGGCAUACCCUACUCUGAAAUCCUGGGUCCGCCACUGAUGAUGAUGGUCUAAAAAUAAACCAAGCCUAGAUUAAUUAGCCACAACUGAAAUUAAGCAAAGGUUAAUGUCAUUGACCCUAGCUCUAUCCUAGCUUUUACCAAAGUUCCGGCACAUAUAGUGGUUGGGCCCACUCUCUCUGCUUCCCUCUCUGCUGCAUGCACGCACACGAGCAACGGGAGGCCCGACGAAGCCCAGAAGGGUUCGGCCGAACCAGUAUGAGCGCCGCUCCCUCCCAGCCUUCGCGCAGAUGCUCCUCCAACGUUCCUUGACCCCUCCCUCAGCGUCCCGUUGGGUUUAACAUUGCAGGAGAGGAGUCCCUUUUUUAAAAUCUCAACCACCUCCUCUCCCCAUUCACUCCACUCUCAUCUCCAUCAAACUCACCAAGAUCCGCACCGGAAAUCCCUGCUUACCACCAUGGCUGGCAAAGCCCUCAUCCCUUUCACCAACUUGGGCUUGACCACUGAUCUCGAUGGGGAAAUCACUCUGGCAAAUAUGCGUGUAACACUGCCCCCUUUGCCGAGGGUUAAAGCCAAAACACUCAGCAAAGUGGAUAGUACCCCCCUUUUUACCCGUUUUGUCAUGUAUAACGGACCCCUCUCAAUUCACAAUAGACAUCAUCAUAGGCAUUUAUAAUAAACAAUCACAGGCAUAAUUCACAAUCACCAUUACAAGCAUUAUUCAUAAAUAUCACAGACAUAAUCCAAAGUAAGCAUGAAACAAGCCAUAAAUCCAAGUUCAAGUCACAACUAAGUUUCAUCCAAGUUCAAGUCACAAAUGCAAUGUCUAAAUCCAUGGAGGCCAAGGAGACCACUGCGACAAAUCUUGGUCUUCAUUAUUCGAAGCCGCCGAUUGAUUCUGCACAUAGGAUAGGACAUUCUGAGCUAACAUCUAAAGUUGUCAAAAUUAAAGUAUUCAAUCUUAAGCACAAUGUGUCAAAUGACUCACAGGAGUAGUUGUGGGUGGCUGAGGCGGAGGGAACAGCAUCGAUGGCGGUGGCAAAGAUUGACCCAUGCUCGAAGCAAAAUUCUGCAUGUACUGGAACAUCUGGUCCAUCCUCAUCCGAUUUUCUUCCUCCAUCCUCUGCCGCUCGGCCUCUAACCUCCGCUGAACCAUCUGCUCCAUCCUCGCCGCCAUCUCCUCUUGUUGCUUCCUUGCUGCUUCCACCUGGGCCUACAAUAUUUCAUUGCAAUGUUACAAUGCAAAGCUAAAGUAUAGCAACCAACGAACAAUGAAUGGAAGAGAAAGAACCUGGAGAGCCUCCAUCUGGAACUGUCCAAUGGUUGGUCGUAGCCGUAUCGCCGGGCUCGAGUCCGUGCUCCUUGCUUGGAUCUGGGAGAGAGUGGCAGUAGAGGCCGUGUUGAUUACGCCGUCGCCAAUCCAAUAUCGGCCAUGCUUCUUGCCUCCUCCCACCCUCAUCACGAUUUCUCCAUCAAUAUCCUCAGAGCUUGAAUCGAAGUCUGGCCCGUGAACCUCCCUUGCCAUCACUGUAUAUUCCUUUGCCGAGUGCCCGAGAUAAAGCACUCGGCAAAUAGAAAACACUCGGCAACUUUACUGUUUCCCGUAGUGUCGCUAUUUUUGCAGGUUCUCGACCAGGCCAGUUCUUUGGGCCAACCUAUCAUUCACGACUUAAACAUACGGUGGCUGUAGAAAUGUUCUAUUCUUUUCAACAAUACCAGCUGGUUCCUCCGUUUUUAUUCCACCAAUACAAGCACCACCUUGUAACAUUUCCUAUGUUUUUUUUUCCUUUCGUCUGUUUUCUACAUGCGUUGCUCUUUCAUGCAUUUUUUUCCAUUCCUGUAUUCCAAAUAGGUCUACAUGAACACAAAAUGAACUAGGGGACAGAAAAAGCCAGUGAAGCCAAUUUUGAGCUUCACCAGCUACUUGCUACAUAAAGUGUGCUAUAGUGACGUGUUUUAGCAAAACAUGUUAUCAAUGACUUGACAUUGGUGACGUGUUAAAACGCGUUAUCUCAAUGGCAAAUCAUUGGUGACGUGUUUUAAAAAAACAUGUCACCGUGAGAGUCAUUGGUGAAGGGUAAUUAUAAUGCGUCACUAAUGUUGUAGCAUUAGUUAUGAUAAUUUAGUAACGCAAAAAUCUACCAUCAGUAUUGAGCUUUAGAGCCAUCGCUAAUGUGGGUUUCUUACAUAGUGAUGCAAGCUCUACAAGGUGCUGUUGCUGCCAUUUUAAAGCAUCCCAUGACUACAUGUUAAUAACAUAGUUUACCAUAUAUCAUAAAAAUAUUAGUUACAAUAAGCACAUACGCAUGUGGAAGAGUCCGAAUGCACCGGUUGAGGACUAAACACAUUGAAUUACUAGAACCAAAUGUGUGUUUAGAACAAAGACAGGGGUCAAGGUUUGGGUAACCGCAUUAAAAACAUUGGAUUUUACUGUACAUGAACACUUAGUUACCAUUACCAUGCCUUGAGCACCUAGUUACAACAAACAUUAAUUUAGCCACUUUAGAGCUUCCAGAAUCGCUAUAAAUAAUAUACCUACGCCGUACCAUGAAAACAUCAAGAAGAGAGACGGAUACAUGGACCACCAUCAAGCGAGUAGUGACAGCACGCACAAGAAUACCCGGAACCUGUUAGCUUGUCUGUAGUGAUCUGUUUUCUUCCCCAUAAAAUCCAUGAGUAUUGCCACAAAUAAUGAAAGAGGCUGACCAAGCUAGCAAGGAGGUAGAGCAAACGUGAUACACGGCCUGCCAAGAUUGCCCUGGAUACGCCAAUAAGAGCGACAGAUACAUGGAUCACACCAAUAUGGUGAAACGUAUAUUCAUCACACAAGCAAAGCUGGUCAGUUUAUCCAUGGUCAAAUUGUGGUCUUUGUUUUCACUUGAGAGCUAAUUGAGGCACUAUAAUAUGGGCAGGCCUAUCUUCAACAGACAUGACAGCUACAGGGAACUUGACAUAAUUUGCUGGGCCGCCUGUGCACAAUUAUUUGUUUUAUUGUCCUUGCAUAGAAUGCUAAAAUACUCUUUACAAAAUGUUGGAUCUAAUAUUUGAAAUAUAGAGUAGUAAUCAUAUAUUGAUCAACAACUUGAAAUUAUCUGUACAUUCUCGGUGAAGCUGUUGAACUAAUUUUUGCAAAUUAUUAAUUCAUCUCAUUACGUAAAGAAAAAAGUAAGUGGAUAAGAUAUUUCGUGGACCACAUCACUGCAAACAUGUCAUGGAGAGACAGACCAAGGAGGCAGGACGUGAUACACGACUUACCCUAGGUUGCCGUGGAACCGCCAAGAAGAGAUACAGAUACAUGGACCACACCAUCUUGGGAGUAGUGACAGCAUAUAUGCAGAAGAAUACCCCGUGCCUAUUUGCAUGCAUGUCUCAAGUGAUCUGUUUUCUUCAGAAAAUACAUGAGCAUUGCCAGAAAGAAUGGCAAGAGACAAACAUGUCAUAGAGACUUGCAUGUCUUGCCUUGGAUACGCCAAGAAGAGGGACACAUACAUGGAUAACACAAAUCUAGUGACACGUAUAUUCAUCACAAAGGCAAAUCUGAUAAUUUUAUCCAUGGAGCAGACCAAGGAGAAAUUGAUGACGGACAUGUGAUCUCUGUAUUCAGUUGAAAGCUAAUUGAGCUACACUAAUAUGAGCAGGACUAUAUUCAAGAGACUUGUUGAGAGCUACAGGGAACUUGUAAUAAUUUGCUGGGCGGCCUGCGCACAAUGAUUUGUUAUACAUAGUUGAAAUAUUUCAAGAAUUUAUCAACCUCAUACUCUGAAACCCUUGGUGCAAUGUACUCUGCUUUCCGAGGUAGACUGUUCACGUAAAAUGAGGUCAUGCGUAAGACGGAAUCGGAUUGGAUUCACAGGGAAUCAGAUUUGGAUAGCACCUUUUAGCAGGUUUUUAGUCAAAUGCAAAUUCGGAUCCACAUGUGGUUGAAUGCGAGUUCAAAAUUCUACUUGGAUAUCCAUUUAAUUUAGGUGAUAGCAAUUAGCACAAAAUGUUGGAUGAACAAAAUCAUAGUUAGACAUACAAUUACAUGUAUGGUUAAAGUAUAAUACAAUACACCAAGAUUAUUCCUUGAAAAUAUUUCUUAAAAAUAUUAUAAUAAAUGAAUAAAUAUAAUUGUGGCCACCAACAAAUAGUCGGUGGUCGCUAAGUUGGAGCCAUUUCUGGUUACUAAUGCGGCCUUCUCCUCGACCAGCGACGACAGCUGAGCUUGUUCCUUCUGACACUAAAUCAUCAGAGUCUUCCCUCCACUACUAUAGAAUGCACCUUUAGCACCAAUUGGGAAAUCCCCUUCAGUAUUGGAUGCUGCAACCAGUGCUAUAUAUCAAAAUGGAGACUAAAAGCCUCGGUCUUGGGUACCGGUUGCAUAACGCAUUACUAAAGGAGGCAAAAGAGAAAUGUAACAAAAAAAAUAUUUUGAAUUCCAAGAAUGUUUCACUAUUCAAGAUGACUAGCUGAGAGUCAACAGACAAGAUACUAGGAAUGUGGGUGCUUGAAUGCAUUUGUACAGAGGUCAUACUAUUUACAAACUCUUCUAUGUUUCCAUAUGACUACCUACUUCAAUGUCACGCGAGCCAUUCAGCUGGACACAUGGCACACUAGCUUGCAUGUCGAAUCCAUGAUUAAUUAUUUCCACUUGUGAUCUCUUACCAGUAUUUGUCCAGACUAGAAACGUGCAACACAUUUUUAGGAUAUGGACACGCAUAUAUUUGGACUAGUAUACAGGUCACCUUUGGAUGCGUACAAGGAUGACCGGGAGGGACUAGAAAUGGUCUAGUUUUGAUUGGACUACAAAACUUUUUGUACAGUGAAUAGAGAAUAUAUAUUAUUGUUGGAAUACGAGGUAGGCUACACUAUCGCAAUUCUGAUAUUCUACCGCGUAUAACCAAGAAGAACUGUCGUAUAAGGAUCACGGGAUUACCACUCGACGCACUACUGGUGCGGAAGAUGUAGAUAUGCGUCGAUGCAGUGAAGACGAUCACGUAGUCGUAUGUAGUCGAUCAACGUAGUCGUACAUAGUCGAUCACGUCCAGCAGCUCCUCAGCAGCUCGUCCACGUGCAGCAAGAUCGCCUCCGGUACCGCGGCUCGUCGUUGGCUUGUCGUGGCUCGUCGACGGCUCGUCGGCGGCUCGUCCAAGUGCUGCAGGCGCAACACCUCCAAGGUAUCCACACGUGCAGGGAGGAAGCGUCGCAAGCCGGACUGCUAGAUCCACGAGUUGCAACAGGCGAGGGCGUGGGAGGCGCGGCAGGUGUGUUUCGCCAAAAAGGUGUAAACCCUAGGGCGCCCCCACCCCUCUAUUUAUAGAGGUUCCUGACGGGCCUCUGGAUCCGAGGCCCAUUAGUACUUCUAAACCUAAUCCAACUCGGAUCAGAUCCGAAUUGGGCUUCCAGCCCCUUAAGUGUGUGACCCUAUAAGUUCGGAUACGUAUAGACAUGGCCCGAGUACUCCUACUCGGCCCAAUAGUCGGUAGCGGCCUCUAGCAAGACGUGCCAACUCCUAUACGCACACGAAGAUCAUAUCAGACGAACCAUCACAACAUAAUAUACAUGCUAUUCCCUUUGCCUCACGAUAUUUGGUCUAGCUUCAAGCCGACCGCUCUUUCUCAGUCCUGUGAUUCGGAAUCCCUUUGUAGGUUAACUCUUAACCGUACGUAGCAUGGCCAUGCAUUUUCGGAUCUGAUCACUCGAGGGGCCCAGAGAUAUCACUCUCAAUCAGAGAGGGGCAAAUCCCAUCUUGAUUGACCAUGUCUCAUAGCAUGCUUCUUGACAAACCUAAAAACUACCUUUAUAACUUCCCUGUUACGGCGUAGUGUUUGAUAGCUCCUAAGUAGGUCGAUCCACAUCUAGAAUACAUGCGACAAUUUCAGGUCUAAGGACAAAGCGUAUAUGUUGUUUAAAGAGAGAACUACUUCUCGUGUUGGGUCAGUCCCAGCACAUGUCUCCACAUGUGUCCACAUUAUUAGUUCAACAUCUCCAUGUCCAUGACUUGUGAAACAUAGUCAUCAACUAAUACAUGUGCUAGUCUAAUAUUCAUGUGUGUCCUCACAUGAACUCCGACUAGGGACAACUUUAGAAUAACCAUACAAGUAAAGAGUUUCACAUACAAUUCACAUAAUUGCAAAUCAAUUCAAGUAGCCUUCAAUGGAUAUUCAAUGAACACAACAUACAAAUCAUGGAUACAAAUGGAAUAUCAUCAUCUCUAUGAUUGCCUCUAGGGCAUACCUCCAACAGUCUCCCACUUGCACUAGAGUCAAUCUAGAAGGUACCUAAUACCCAUAGCUCUUACAUGCGCAUCAUGCUUAGCCUGCGGGAGUGGUUUUGUCAACGGAUCAGAAAUGUUCAGAUCCGUGUGUAUUUUGCAUAUCUUGAUCUCACCCCGGUUAACGAAGUCUCGAAUGAGAUGAAAUCGCCGCAUUACAUGUUUGUUCUUCUGGUGGUUCCUUGGCUCCUUUGCUUGCGCAAUUGCCCCAUUGUUAUCACAGUAGAGAUUCAAUGGGCUGGACCCAUUCGGGAACACACCAAGCUCAAUGAGGAAAUUCCUUAUCCAAACACCUUCCUUCGCGGCUUCCGAAGCCGCGAUGUACUCGGCUUCUGUCGUAGAAUCGGCCACCGUCUCCUGCUUGGAACUCUUCCAACUAACAGCACCACCAUUUAGCGUGAACACAAAUCCUGUUUGUGACUUUGAAUCAUCUCUGUCGGUUUGGAAACUAGCAUCGGUGUAACCUGUUACAACGAGCUCCUCCUCACCUCCAUAGACGAGGAAUAUAUCUUUAGUCCUUCUCAAGUACUUAAGAAUGUUUUUCACCGCUGUUCAGUGACUCUCACCUGGAUCAGAUUGGUGUCUGCUUGUCAUACUUAGCACAUAUGAAACAUCUGGGCGAGUACUUAUCAUUGCAUACAUGAUAGAUCCAAUAGCCGAGGCAUAUGACACUCUACUCAUGUGAUCCCGCUCAUCAGCAGUCGAAGGACACUGAGUCUUGCUGAGAUGUAUGCCAUGUGACAUAGGCAAGAACCCUUCCAUGCUGAACCGCUUCAACACUUUGUCAAUGUAAGUAUCUUGGCUUAAACCUAUAAGCCUUCUCGAUCUAUCUCUAUAGAUCUUAAUGCCCAGAAUAUAUGCCGCUUCCCCUAAGUCCUUCAUCGAAAAACUAUUUUUCAGUGAAGUCUUUAUGGACUCAAGCAUAGGAAUGUUAUUUCCAAUCAGUAAUAUGUCAUCCACAUAUAAGAUUAGAAAUACUACAGAGCUCCCACUAACCUUCUUGUAAACACAAGACUCUUCUUCGUUCUUGGUGAAGUCAAACCCUUUGACCACUUCAUCAAAACGAAUGUUCCAACUCCUAGAUGCUUGCUUCAAUCAAUAAAUGGAUCUCUGAAGCUUGCAUACCUUUCCAGCAUUUUUCGGAUCGACAAAACCCUUGGACUGUAUCAUAUACACGUCCUCAGUUAGGUUUCCAUUCAGGAAAGCUGUCUUGACAUCCAUCUGCCAUAUCUCAUAAUCGAAAUAUGCAGCCAAACUUGAUUGUCUCCCAUGGACUCUAUUUCGGAUUGCAUGGCAUUCUGCCAUUUUUCGGAGUCUGGGUCCAUCAUUGCUUCUGCAUAUGUCACAGGCUCAUCAUUGUCCAACAAUAAUAUUUCCUGCAUUUCGCGGAGCCUUGCCGACCUUCGUGGUUGUGGCGGUGCUUCUCUUGCCAUGGGUAUCUCAACUUGUUCUGCUACGUUAGCAUCACUCAUUGAUUCUUGCCCGAUCGGCUCAUCUUGAACUUCUUCAAGAUGCACUGUCUUUCCACUCUUUUCUCCUUUGAGAAACUCUUUCUCUAGGAAAACCCCGUUCCGAGCGACAAACACUUUGCCUUCUGAUCAGUUGUAAAAAUAAUAUCCCAAAGUUUCCUUUGGAUAUCCCACGAAAAUGCACUUAUCCGACUUGGGUGCGAUCUUGUCCGACUGAAGUCGCUUGACAAACACAUCACAUCCCCAAAUCUUUAGAAAAGACAAACUAGGAACCUUUCCAGUCCAUAUCUCAUAUGGUGUCUUAACUACGGAUUUAGAUGGUACCCUAUUAAGUGUGAAAGCUGCUGUUUCUAGAGCGUAUCCCCAAAAUGACAACGGUAGGUCCGACUGGCUCAUCAUUGAUCGAACCAUGUCUAACAAAGAUCGAUUACGUCGCUCGGACACACCGUUUCUCUGAGGUGAUCCAGGCGGCGUAAGUUGUGGAACAAUUCCGCAACUCUUUAGAUGAUUGCUAAACUUGUGGCUCAAAUACUCGCCUCCACGAUCAGAUUGUAAGGCCUUAAUUUUCUUGACACGCUAAUUUUCAACUUCAUUCUGAAAAUCCUUGAACUUUUCAAAGGUUUCAGACUUGUGCCUCAUCAAGUAGACAUAGCCAUAUCUACUAAAAUCAUCAGUGAAAGAUAUGAAGUAUUGGAAUCCUCCUCUAGCCGUCGUGCUCAUUGGUCCGCAUACAUCACUAUGUACGAGUUCCAACAAGUCUACUGCUCUCUCAGGAAAUCCUGUGAAAGACGUCUUGGUCAUCUUGCCUAGCAAGCAAGCCUCACAUGUCUCGUAUGAUUCAAAAUCAAACGAAGUUAGAAGUCCAUCAGAAUGGAGCUUCUUCAUGCGUUUUUCACUUAUAUGACCCAAACGACAAUGCCACAAGUAGGUAGGACUCAAAUCAUUAGGCCGAGGCCUUUUAGCACUUACAUUACAGACAGGUGAACCAUCAAGAUUUAAAACAAAUAAUCCAUUCACAAUGGGUGCAAAAGCCAUAAACAUAUUAUUCUUAGAGAUCACACAACCAUUGUUUUCACUCGCAAAUGAAUAACCAUCCUUCAUCAAGCAUGAAGGAGACAAAAUGUUUCGACUUAAACUAGGAACAAAAUAACAAUUAUUCAACUCCAUAAUAAAUGCUGACGGGAGGUGGAGUUGCAUCGUCCCGACGGUCAACGCAGCAACUCUUGCAUUAUUGCCCACGCGGAAAUCAACUUCUCCUCUUUCCACGCUUCUACUUCUUAUCAUUCCCUGCAUCGAAUUGCAAAUAUGAGCAACCGAUCCGGUAUCAAAUACCCAAGAAUUAAUAAUUGUAUCAGCGAGAAAUAUGUUGUCUAUGACAUUAACAACAAGCGUACCUGAGGUAGAAGUACUCUUACUUCCUCCAUUCUUCAACGAAGCUAGGUACUGCUUGCAGUUUCUCUUCCAGUGACCAAGUUCAUGACAGUAAAAGCACUCUUUGUCUGGAGCAGGUCCAGGUCCAGCUUUAACCUUGGGCGCUCGCUGGGUUUGGCUUGGAAAUUCCAGCCUUGCCCUUCUUCUUCCAAGAAUUGCCCUUCUUCUUAAAGCUAGGCUUGUUCUGUAUAGCCAUCACAUGGCUAGUACAAGCGCUUUUCUUGAUGUCUACCUCUGCUGUCUUGAGCAUACCACACAGUUCAUUCAAACCCUUCUCCGUCCCAUGCAUAUGGUAGUUCGAGAUGAAGUUCCCAUAGCUAGGCGGAAGAGAUGAAAGAAUGAAGUCAGUGGCCAACUCUUUGCCCAUUGGGAAGCCCAGCUUCUCCAAUCGCUGAGUGUAACCAACCAUGUUGAUUACAUGUGGUCCUACUGCUGCGUCUUCUGCUAGCUUGCACUCCAGAAAAGCUUUGGACACAUUGAACCUUUCAGUCCUAGCCUGUGUCUGGAACAUGUCCUUGAGCGCCACGAUCAUAUCGUGUGCCUCAUGAUUUGUUUCGAACUGCAUCUGCAGCUCGGGUUCCAUGCAAGCAAGCAUAAGGCAGCUUACCUCAAGAUUAGCAUCAAAUGCCUUCUUGUAAGCAGCCUUAACGGCAGCAGAUGCAUCAUCAGCAGGUACUGGUGGUAGUGGGGUAUCUAGAACAUCUUCCUUUUUAUCGGCCCUGAGAACAAUUCUCAGGUUACGGAUCCAAUCCGAGUAGUUUGUUCCAUUCAACUUGUCCUUCUCAAGGACCGAGCGCAAAGCAAACGAUGUGGUGGUGUUGCUAGGUGCCAUUUAAUCUACAACAAAAGUAAUGCAAAAUACACUAAGACAAACGUAUCCAUGAUAGAGCAAAUUACAUUAAACUAUUUUAACAGAAUCUACUCCCACUAAAAUCAAUAUCCCUCUAUUGAAACUUAGUGAUUCAGGAUCCACAACUAACAAGUCUACUAGUGAGCUUUAGCAUCACCGCUAGCAAACGAGGUAGAUCGGUAAGCAACUUUUGCUAAUCAUAUCACAUAUGACUCCUGUUGUUGGGUGACAUCUCCAUGUCUCGGCGCCCAACCAUUAUGCCCCAAGGUCCUUAACCGUUAAGAUGACCUCGUUAAGCAAACCAACCCUUAUGCGUGUAAGUGUCCGACACAAACCCGUCUAGUCAAGGAAAACUAGUGGCACCCUAAUUUCAUAGACCCACCACUAAUUGUACAAGACAUGGGACGGUGCAAGUUUUAGUUGGGAGGGCAUACUAACUUAAAUUUUUUGUGAGGGAUCGUUCUACUUCUAACAUCACAGCAUGCAGAAAGUAAAACAUAAACAGAAUAGCAUUCACACAGCUGUGACACAGUAUGGCCCGUUUUUAUAUGGUGAUCUCCAUCUCCAUAGAACCUGUUCACCAUGGUGAUCUCCAUCUCCAUGUUCCAUGUGCGCCAUCCUCCUGGUGAGGAGUCCUCCAAGAACUAGAACAUGCUAUUACACCUAAUAGCUAGUAAAGAAUCUAGUAAUGAAGAUUACAUAGUUGCUUGGAUCAUCACAGAUUGGUACGCAGACCAUUAAAUACAAUAAAGUGACAACACAUAUGGCUCCUGCCGUGUUGCCGUACGCGCGACACGCAGGUCACGAAUGAGUUACACACAUGCAUCACAUACACAAGGGGGCCAUACUGAUCACAAGAUACAUACAUACAUCCUGCAAAACAGAGUUAGGCGUCCUAACGUUCCAAACUUCGAAGGCCCGAAACUCCAUCUUCCAAGCCGAAUUUGGGAAAUCUAAUUUUGCCGAAAACGGCAAAGCGGUUGAAUUUCAUGUGUAACUUUUUCUGUAGAUCAAUUUUCAUAUAAAAUUCGCCCCGAUCCGAGAUCGUACCGAAAAGUUACGGCUGAUUUACCGAAGCAUACGCAUACGGCAAAAAUUCCGACCCCGGCAGUAGAUCCCAUCUACUAUUGCACAUCUAAUGCGCCUGGCGUAUGAUCCUGGAUUUCGAUUCGACCAAUCAUAUUGAUCUUCGCUCACUGCAACUGGAAUUACGUGUAUCACUUAACUCGUCGGCGGCUCGUCGGCGGCUCAUCCAAGUGCUGCAGGCCCAACACCUCCAAGGUAUCCACACGUGCAGGGAGGAAGCGUCGCAAACCGGACUGCUAGAUCCGCGAGUUGCAAUAGGCGAGGGCGUGGGAGGCGCCGCAGGUGUGUUUCGCCAAAAAGAUGUAAACCCUAGGGCGCCCCCACCCCUCUAUUUAUAGAGGUUCCUGACGGGCCUCUGGAUCCGAGGCCCAUUAGUACUUCUAAACCUAAUCCAACUCGGAUCAGAUCCGAAUUGGGCUUCCAGCCCCUUAAGUGUGUGACCCUAUGGGUUCGGAUACGUAUAGACAUGGCCCGAGUACUCCUACUCGGCCCAAUAGUCGGUAGCGGCCUCUAGCAAGACGUGCCAACUCCUAUACACACACGAAGAUCAUAUCAGAUGAACCAUCACAACAUAAUAUACAUGCUAUUCCCUUUGCCUCACGAUAUUUGGUCUAGCUUCAAGCCGACCGCUCUUUCUCAAUCCUGUGAUUCGGAAUCCCUUUGUAGGUUAACUCUUAACCGUACGUAGCAUGGCCAUGCAUUUUCGGAUCCGAUCACUCGAGGGGCCCAGAGAUAUCACUCUCAAUCAGAGAGGGGCAAAUCCCAUCUUGAUUGACCAUGUCUCAUAGCAUGCUUCUUGACAAACCCGAAAACUACCUUUAUAACUACCCUGUUACGGCGUAGCAUUUGAUAGCCCCUAAGUAGGUCGAUCCACAUCUAGAAUACAUGCGACAAUCUCAGGUCUAAGGACAAAGCGUAUAUGUUGUUUAAAGAGAGAACUACUUCUCGUGUUGGGUCAGUCCCAGCACAUGUCUCCACAUGUGUCCACAUUAUUAGUUCAACAUCUCCAUGUCCAUGACUUGUGAAACAUAGUCAUCAACUAAUACAUGUGCUAGUCUAAUAUUCAUGUGUGUCCUCACAUGAACUCCGACUAGGGACAACUUUAGAAUAACCAUACAAGUAAAGAGUUUCACAUACAAUUCACAUAAUUGCAAAUCAAUUCAAGUAGCCUUCAAUGGAUAUUCAAUGAACACAACAUACAAAUCAUGGAUACAAAUGGAAUAUCAUCAUCUCUAUGAUUGCCUCUAGGGCAUACCUCCAACAAUUAUUUCAUGUAAAUUUUUGACAAUUUUUUAAAAUUGUUUGAUAUUUUUUAAAUUUUUUUUAAAAUAACUUUGCCGAGUGUCCUAUUGUAGACACUCGGCAAAGCAGCCUUCACCGAGUGUUACCCCUGGGACACUCGGCGAAUUAAUGCCCGGCCGCUCAAGAAUAUGUGCCCGGCCCCCUCACUCUCCCGGCCCCCCUCACUCUCACUCCCCUCACUCCCUCCUCUCUCCCUCCUCUCUCCCUCUCGCCGCCGCCCGAAACCCCCGCCGCCGCCCGCCGCCCGGCAUGCCGCCCAGCGCCCCCCGCCGCCGCCCGGCGCUCCCGAAUCCGCCGCCGCCCGCCCGGCGCCCGGCCCCCGGAUCCGCCGCCGCCGGCCGCCCGGCGCCCCCGGAUUCGCCGCCGCCCGCCCGGCCCCCGGCCCCCGGAUCAGCCGCCGCCCGCCGCCCGGCGCACGGCGCCCCCGGAUCCGCCGCCGCCUGCCCGGCGCCCGGCCCCUGGCCCCCUGAUCCGCCGCCGCCCGCCCGGAUCCGCCGCCGCCCGCCCGGCGCCCGGCCCCCGGCCCCCGGAUCCACCGCCGCCCCCCCGGCCCCCGGAUCCGCCGCCCGCCCGUCCCCUCCACCGGAUCCGCCGGCGCCGGGGCCUGAAGAGAAGAGAAGAGGAGAGGAUGGUGGCGGCGGCGGCCGCGGCGGCGGAGCAGGUGGCAGAGCAUGCAUGAUUUUUUUUUAUUUUUUCAAUAAUUGUUCGCCAAGUGUUUUCUGGGCACUCGGCAAAGUCUUUGCCGAGUGCCCGACACAAAACACUCGGCGAACCAGUGUUUGCCGUCAAGAUUUUUGCCGUGUGUCGUUUGCCGAGUGUUACACUCGGCAAACGCUUUGUCGAGUGUUUUUGGGGUUUCGCGGAGUGACCCUGGCACUCGGCAUCACGCAUGUUUCCCUUAGUGAACUUGAAAUUAUCUGUACAUUCUCGGUGAAGCUGUUGAACUAAUUUUUGCAAAUUAUUAAUUCAUCUCAUUACGCAAAGAAAAAAGUAAGUGGAUAAGAUAUUUCGUGGACCACAUCACUGCAAACAUGUCAUGGAGAGACAGACCAAGGAGGCAGGACGUGAUACACGACUUACCCUAGGUUGCCGUGGAACCGCCAAGAAGAGAUACAGAUACAUGGACCACACCAUCUUGGGAGUAGUGACAGCAUAUAUGCAGAAGAAUACCCCGUGCCUAUUUGCAUGCAUGUCUCAAGUGAUCUGUUUUCUUCAGAAAAUACAUGAGCAUUGCCAGAAAGAAUGGCAAGAGACAAACAUGUCAUAGAGACUUGCAUGUCUUGCCUUGGAUACGCCAAGAAGAGGGACACAUACAUGGAUAACACAAAUCUAGUGACACGUAUAUUCAUCACAAAGGCAAAUCUGAUAAUUUUAUCCAUGGAGCAGACCAAGGAGAAAUUGAUGACGGACAUGUGAUCUCUGUAUUCAGUUGAAAGCUAAUUGAGCUACACUAAUAUGAGCAGGACUAUAUUCAAGAGACUUGUUGAGAGCUACAGGGAACUUGUAAUAAUUUGCUGGGCGGCCUGCGCACAAUGAUUUGUUAUACAUAGUUGAAAUAUUUCAAGAAUUUAUCAACCUCAUACUCUGAAACCCUUGGUGCAAUGUACUCUGCUUUCCGAGGUAGACUGUUCACGUAAAAUGAGGUCAUGCGUAAGACGGAAUCGGAUUGGAUUCACAGGGAAUCAGAUUUGGAUAGCACCUUUUAGCAGGUUUUUAGUCAAAUGCAAAUUCGGAUCCACAUGUGGUUGAAUGCGAGUUCAAAAUUCUACUUGGAUAUCCAUUUAAUUUAGGUGAUAGCAAUUAGCACAAAAUGUUGGAUGAACAAAAUCAUAGUUAGACAUACAAUUACAUGUAUGGUUAAAGUAUAAUACAAUACACCAAGAUUAUUCCUUGAAAAUAUUUCUUAAAAAUAUUAUAAUAAAUGAAUAAAUAUAAUUGUGGCCACCAACAAAUAGUCGGUGGUCGCUAAGUUGGAGCCAUUUCUGGUUACUAAUGCGGCCUUCUCCUCGACCAGCGACGACAGCUGAGCUUGUUCCUUCUGACACUAAAUCAUCAGAGUCUUCCCUCCACUACUAUAGAAUGCACCUUUAGCACCAAUUGGGAAAUCCCCUUCAGUAUUGGAUGCUGCAACCAGUGCUAUAUAUCAAAAUGGAGACUAAAAGCCUCGGUCUUGGGUACCGGUUGCAUAACGCAUUACUAAAGGAGGCAAAAGAGAAAUGUAACAAAAAAAAUAUUUUGAAUUCCAAGAAUGUUUCACUAUUCAAGAUGACUAGCUGAGAGUCAACAGACAAGAUACUAGGAAUGUGGGUGCUUGAAUGCAUUUGUACAGAGGUCAUACUAUUUACAAACUCUUCUAUGUUUCCAUAUGACUACCUACUUCAAUGUCACGCGAGCCAUUCAGCUGGACACAUGGCACACUAGCUUGCAUGUCGAAUCCAUGAUUAAUUAUUUGCACUUGUGAUCUCUUACCAGUAUUUGUCCAGACUAGAAACGUGCAACACAUUUUUAGGAUAUGGACACGCAUAUAUUUGGACUAGUAUACAGGUCACCUUUGGAUGCGUACAAGGAUGACCGGGAGGGACUAAUGGAUACAAGGAAGGGACCAUCAGGAUUAAUAUUGACAUAUGCCACAUGACAAUCUUCAUUGUCAUGCAAUCCCUAUCAACAAUCAUGGAAUCCCUAGUGUACUAAUCCCUGGAGGGUUGUGUGGAAAUUUAUUUUACCUUGCGGUGAAAAUCUCAUGAGCAGUCAUUAGUUAAGCUGACUAGCUGAGAUAUAAUAGACAAGCUAGUAAGAUUGGGAGCAUCAAUGCAUCCAUACAGGGUCACAAUAUCCUUUCCAUUCACUUUUAUAUAUAACCCUACGAAUACAAGUCCAACGAAAUGCGGGCCUUUCGAUCAAGAUAAAUUAAAUGGCCCACUUGUAUUUCUAAUCCAGGAUUAACUAUGCCCUCUGUUCAUCUCUUGCAAGCACGUGCAACACAUUUUCACGAUAUGGACAUGCAUGGAGGUUAUUAUACUGUUUGGACAAACUCUGAUGUGCCAUGACCUAAAUGCUUAGGGCCUGUUUGGUUUGAGUUGCUUAUUAUAAGCAACUUAAAGUUGCUUAAAGUUGCUUAUUUGAAGUUGCUUAUUUUUAGUCUAAACUGUUUGGAUACCCUUGCUUAUGAGCAUUGAAUGAGUUGGACAUUGUCAAAUUUGCCCCAUGUGUUGCUACCCCUCCAAUUUGCCUCCCCACCCUUCUUCUUCCUGCACACGUCCGAUCCCGGGGGCCGACGGCGGGCAGGGAGCAGCAGCAGCUGGCCAGGGCGGCGGUGGGGCGGGAGCGGCGGCGCACACCAGCACGCGCUCGCACGCCAGGUGCUAGGGCGCGGCGAGGCAGUCGUCGUAGCCCACCGGGAGCGGGUGCUCGGGCGCGAGGCGGUACUCGACGGAGAUGCCGAGCGUCGGGCGCGCGGCGGCGAGCGCGUUGAGGAAGCGAUGGUAGUGCGGCGACGUCGCGGACUCCGCCACGAAGCCGCCGCCGUGGACGUACACCACCACGGGCAGCUUCGUCUUGCCGUCGGCGGCCGCGGCCGCGGCCUGGGGUGGCAGGUAGAGGCGGACGGAGCAGGAGCCGAGGUCGACGUCCCUGGAGUCGACGCCCGUGGCGGCGUCCAGGCUAGGCCCGACCGGCGGCGGCACGAGCGGGCGCUCGAUGCGGCCGCUCUUGUAAAUCCGACGGGUCUGUGCGGAGGCGGGCGGCGGGCGGGAGCGGCGGGUGGGAGCGGCGGCAGGUGGUGCGGAGGCCGGCGGCGGCGGGUGGCGCGGAGGAAGGGGAGCUGGUGAGUGGUGACAGGGGAGGGGGGGAGAGAGAGGGGGGGGUAGGGUGCAUUGAAUGAGGGCAGGAGGUGUAAAGUGCACCUUUUAGUCCCCAUGAGCAACCAUAAGCAGCCCAAGAGUUGCUUAUUUGCUUAUAAUAAGCAACCUCAUAAGCAAGAGUGAUUGGUUUCAUAAGCAACUUAUUUGCUUAUUUUAAGUUGCUUAUGCAUAAGCAUGUGAAACCAAGCAGGUCCUUAACCUAUGGUUGUGGCACCACACAGUACAUAGUAUUUAAUAAUGCUAUUCGUUUGGUAUGUGCACAAGGGCACGCAUGAAAUGUCUGGCCCACGGUAAACAAGUACGGACGCUGCAAAUAAUCUACUCUGCUCGUCCAGUCCCUAGCCUAUAAAUAGAUGCCAUGCUAGCUCUUGUUGUGCUCACAAUUAAUCCUGACUACACACGAGCUUCUCUCCCUGGCCAAGACACAAUCAUAGUAUGAUGAAGAACAUGGCACUAGCCGGCAAUGGUAUGAAGAACUUAAUCCUCGCUGUUCUCUUACUGUGUCUAGUUAUAGGGCAGAUACAAGUGGAAGCUAAGAGCUGCUGCCCAUCCAUUACUGCAAGAAAUAUCUACAAUGCCUGCCGUAUCACGGGUACAUCCCGUCCAACGUGUGCAAAACUGUCAGGCUGCAAAAUUAUCAGCGGGGACAAAUGCAAGCCCCCUAACGACCACCUCACCCUUGACCCGGACACUGGUAAAUAAUAAAUUUAUCUCACUUGAUUUCUUCGUGUUUUGAGUCGUUAAUGUAUUUUCCAUCUGAUGAAACGUAUUGGUUUUGCAUUGAAGAGGAAGUUAAUGUGCUUAACUUCUGCAAGUUGGGGUGUGCGUCGUCUGUGUGCAACAACAUCAACGCUGGUAAGCACCUUUUGCUCAGACGGAGAAAACAAUAAUCAUUAAUUAGCGGCAGCUAGAAUCCUAUAAUCUAAUAUAUUUAUAUAUAUAUAUAAUUUUAUCAGCUCUGGGAAAUGAAGAGGCGAACGAUGCCGUUGAGAGUUGCGACCAAGCCUGCUCUAGCUUCUGCAACGUGCACGUUGGCGCUGCCACCGUGGUUGCUUAAGCAAAUGCAUCCAACUGGAUCGUCCUUGUGCUAAAUAAUUGGAUAUCGUAUCCACUUAAAGCUGCCUUGUGUAGUACGUUUUUGUUUGUGUCUCUCUUUAUAUUCCAAUAAGGUCGGUGAUCUUGAUGCCACACACUCAGACGUGUGUUCAUCUCCAGAUACUACUCCAUGCUACCUGCCCUUUGUGUUUUGUUCAAUAACUGGGUAUCAUAUCCCAGCCAGUGUGCCAUCUGUUUUGUGUUUAUUUCCUUCUAGUUUCAAAGGGGUUAUCAUGAUGUUACCUUCUUUCGAUAUGGUGCUUUGCAUGACUACUGUUGUAUGGUACCAUCUUGUUGGCCAAUAAAUACAUCUUAUCCUAUGACCCUUUGCUAUGACCCUUUGCAAAUAAGUACAAGAUUGUUAAAUACUCGGUAUAAAUUGACUACUGCUGUGAGUUCCCUUUCAGCUUAUCGUAGGCAUACAUUAUUGCUAGCACGGUGAAGACAACCAACACGAAUGGUCAAGUAAACGUACCG